rnacentral:lncRNA from 1 species
AAAAAAAAAAAAAAAAAACUGAUUAAUAAUUGAGAAUUAUUCCUGAAGAGAUAGUCAAAUUAAAUCACAACUCAACUGAUCACACAUUUAAAUAGAAUAUAAAUAAAUUAAUUAAUAAUGCUUGAUCCUGAAGUAGUCAAGUAGAGAUAAAUCAUUGUCUUAAUGGAGCAGAGAACAUGUACAAACUCACAGAGAAAAUAGUGGAAAUAUAGAGACACCUGAUAAUCAGCAUUGCAGCUUCACAAGCUCCACGAUUAACAAGCUGGCUUCUUCGGCUGAACUGAGAAACCGUGGUAUUGAAAUUUUACGAGCCCUGCAUCCGUUCUUUGUUAAGAAAUUUUAUUCUGUAGAGGGGAGUUCUGCUUCUGCAGGGCCGAUCUCAAGUGACGAAAGUGGGACUUGGGGCAGUUUUAUUAUGUUAGCAGAAAUGGGCUUUGGAUUACAUAAGGCCCAAAAGGCUCUGAACAUAUGCGAGCUGGCCGCAGCAUUCUUAAUCACAUAGCGCUCUGAACCCUCAAAGGUUUCUCACCAGCCCCCAUUGUUUCAUUAACCCCAUUUAUUUUUUAAAUUAUCCUUAUUAAAAGACAAAAAUUUAACUAAAAAAAAAAAUUAAAAACCCUAGUUACGCCUUCCACUACUAUUGUCACCACCUCAAGCCACCCUUCUUUAUCAUUCAUUCCAAUUUCAACUGUUUUAUUGUUAGCCUAUUUUUAUUAUUUUUCAUUUAUUUCAAUUAAUUUAUAAUUUAUUGAUCCGCAUACUGAAAUUAUUCUUUACCUCUUUUUAUUUGAUAUUACUUUUAAUUUUUUUAUACUAUCAUAAUAAUCUCAUUAAAAUCAAAUCAAACAAAUGAGGGGUUUUGUGGUUUUGUUCUGCAGCUAUUGUAGAAUUUGCUAUUAAUGUCAAAUCGGCGACUAAGGGCUUGCAGUGCAGUGGUGAAUGUCAAUAUGUGAUGGUGGAAGGUGGGCGGGGUUUUUGAAAUUGCACUUAUUUUUAAUUAUUUAACAGUAGCAAUUACAAAAAUAAGUGAAAUUAAUAAAAAAAGAAUAUGAAUUGAUAAGAUAAAUUCAGAGAAUCAAAUAUUGGUACUAUUCUUGAUCUGGACUCACUCAGCUUGUAAACCAUCUAAAAGGCCUUCAGGUGGGACAAUAAUAAUUUCUUGAUAACUGUCUGUCUGGGAUUGCAUUUAGCCAUAAGCUUCUAACUUAUUUAGGUACCCAAUAAUAAUGUAUCAAAAGAAGACAAAAACUACUCACUUCAAAUAUAUUAUGUAUAUAUAUGUGUCAUUAAAAAGAAAACAAUAGGCAUAGACUUCGGUCCCCAAACUACAUGAUCAUGUUACUCGACCUGGUAGACAAAUGUAUGUACUUAAAACCCAAUUGAAUUUGAGCUCCAAACUAUUACGUCAUGGCCAAUAAUGGAGUUGCUUUUGCCAAGGGGCAAGGACCCAGAGCCCAGAGAGAGGAGACAGCGACACAGAUGACAUUGACAAUCAAACGCGACAAUGUUCGGAGAAGAUUUAAAUAAGUUCUCCAUUUAAAAUAUGGCCAUAGUUGAUCAGUAACAUCAUGUUCCGCAUAUUCAUGUCUUUUCAAUAAUAUUUAGAGCACACGUACUACAGAUGACAUGAAAUUAUCAAAUUAUUUUCCAAGUGACAUAGUUUAACGGCAGAUUCGAACGAUUUUGCUAAUCUGAAAAUGAGCAAUUAAAUGUUUUAAAAAGGUAAAAAACGCAACUCUUAAUUGUCAGAAAAGUCCAUAGCAAUGGCCUGUGGCCAUGCCAGUGCUCCAUCUACAUCUCUUGGUAGAUGCUAAAAUAAGCUUGUGCCCUUUUUGGGAUGGAAUUUAGAUCUAGUGUUGAGCUGAUUUUUGCUCAACUUUUCAUAAUCUUCUGUCAUAUGUAUAUGUAUAAUAAUAUACGGUUAAGAUUCAAUUAGUUAUAUAUAUUCUUAUCCAAUAAAUAUCAAUUACAUAUUGUUUCAAAGGUUAGUAAAAAGUUAAUCACAAUAUUGAAUCUAAAUCUUUUUGUAUGACAGGAACCCCUUUUCUUUUUCUCUUCUUAUUUAACAAAUUCUUUUUUCAGCUUCCUUGCCUUUAAGAAUUUCUAGUUUUCUACUGACGGAGGGAGCAAGCAAAGGAGUGGUCAAAAGGGGGCAGCAUCACUCCUCACAUUGUUGGGUGGCCAUACCAUAUACAUCAACUGUUGCCAGAGGGUGAACAAUUAGGCCUGAAAAAAAAAAAAGUGGCAAAUGGGACCAACCAUGUGGGCAUAUGGGCCACAACUCGGAAGCCCAAUGAUACAAAAAAAAGCGAUAUUAAAGUGGUUUUUGUAGGCCCACUUCUGAAGAAGGAACUAUGCUGAGGUUAGCUCUUAUCUUUUCAGAAACACCAACAAUAAUUCAACCAUUUUGUUCUUUUGAAUCAUGCAUCCAUCGCAAGGCAUGACAAAAGCUUGCCAUAUAACAUGAUAAAAAGCUCAAUAGGAAGAACCCACUGGCUUCAUGCCAAAUUAUUGAGGAAGAAAUGAUAGUUCUUAUUCAUCAUGCAUUCAGAUAAUUUGUAUAUUAACCAUCUGAUCCACAAACCGCCUGGACCCAACUGGGUUUGAUAUGGAAUCAACCCUCUACAAUCAAAUGGUCAAAAAAUGUGCAUAACAUGAUUGAUGUUCAAUAGAGACGAGCUUGUUAGAAUCCUAGAGAAAAAUCGAAAUCACAGAUAAAACGUAAAAUUUCUCCAAAAGAAGAAUCCUGGGCACAUGGUCCGAUACAGGACUCGUGUUAUACACUGGAGAUUGAAUCGACACUUGUACUGGUUGCCAUAACUUCACUGAUAUCAUGUGCGAGUUCUGAAGGGCAGAAUCAUAUUAAGCUCGAAUGGAUCGGUUAGUUUGAUUUCAUUUAUAUUUGUUAGGUGGUGAAGGAGUGAUCCGAAGUUAUGAACUACACUGUUUAGAGUCCUUUCAAACAGUUGCUUUUGGCGGAAAAGAAAUAAUAAAGGAUGAAUGGACCACCUUUGGCCCUCAGUUCUGACCAUGAAAAAGCUUAUCAUUCUUAAAUGAACAUUCUGCUUAUUUAACACGCCUUGAGACCCUGGCAUCUAAAGGUCAAUGACGAACUAAAAUCACUUAAUGAUGACCAACCACCACAAGGUGGCAAGGUUAUUAAUACCCUAAUAGCUAUAAUUAUCAACUCAUAAUUGCAGUUCAAUGGAAUAAUUUACUUCACUUAGAGACGAAGCUAAUGCACUUUCCCUUUGCUUGAACGCUAAAAACAAUGUCAAUUUUUGCAUUCAUUUUGAAUAUUAAAUUGCUAAGCGUGGUUGCCAAAUGCUUGAAAGCUCACGCACCCACUUGACAGCAUUUCAAUUCCGGACUCCAACUAUAUCGCACCUUUUUACAACUUCGAAAAGUAAUCGUUUGAUAUGAUGCCUGGAUUUCAGGUUAAUCAAAUAUCAAACAUUUCCCAAAUUUGUUAAACCGAAAAAAGGAUGUCAAGCUUUAAUUAAUUUUUAAAAAAAUAAAAAGAAAAGAAAGCUAAUAAAACAAAAAGCAACGAGCCAAUACCAAGCUAGUGAAAUUAAUUUAAAAGCUUCUAAUUGGCCCUCAGCCCCUCACUUCCAGUUCAGAAUAUCAACUUCCUACGAGGCAGCGCCGCUACUGGAUUACGUUUCCCGGAAAAGGCAGCGAGAUCACGGAUGGUUUCCCCGAUCAAAUCUUUAAAUAUGAGCCGUUCUAUGUCAAGCACUGCCUCGGACAUCUCAAUCGGGCAAUCCCCGUUAAUGGCAUCCCCCGCUAAGUCCUUUUUUAGCACACCACAUAUGACAUUAAACAAGUCCUCAGAUGAGUCCCUCUCCCGGAUUUUCUGAAAUUCCAACCAAAUUUGUUGCAGUGAAGCCUGCCCAGAAUUGGAAUUUGCAUAAGAAACGACUUUCCAUGGCGGCAAUUGCCUCCUGCGAAUCAGAAUUUCAUUGAUAGUAUCAAAUAUAAGCUUUCUCUGCAGUCUUGAGACCUUGGAGGUAUCCUUUCCCUUGAGAUAUUGUUGCUUCUCUAGCAAUAAAAACAUAUCUGAAUCUUCCGGUAGGAAAUUCGAUGCCCGGAGAAUAUCCGAAAUGUAGGUGAAAUCAGAGUCAUCAUCCUCCGAUUUUGAUUCCACAGAUGAAAUCCCUAGGCUCCAGAUAUCAUCUUCCAAUUCGUUUUGUUGGUCUGUUAUUUACACCAGGUAAAAUGCACAAGAGUCAGAUACGUAGCUGCUAACAUAGCAAACAACAGUAGAAAAUGUCAAAAGACUCAAAACCUAUAGUAGAGCCCACACCAUUGAUCGAACGCCAAACAAUUUUCAUUCAAUAUGAGUAACAUACUGACAUAACAAAAGCUUAAAGAUGCUGACAGUGACAAAGAAAGGAAAUUGAAGAUGCCUCUGAUUGGUUACCAACGUGGGCCACUCCAUAACAAAACCAAAGGCAGCAGCAUAAAAAUGCAUAGCUAUCGAUGGCAUCCCGAUGGACACCUGUCAGUAAGGUUCAGCGAACAUAUUCCAUUUCAAGAUUCAACCAGGCUAAGCUAACCACUGGGAUUUGAUUUUACCCAGAUCAGGUAAUUUUGCAGAAAAAGAGGUUCCAGUCACUGCCCUUUUUUAAGUACCAUCAUCAAUCACAGUUGUAGUUCACGCAUUUAAUUUUUCACUCCAAAAUCCAGCUUCGUCGUUCCGUCAAUGAAUCCGACGAUCGGCAUCAGUGGGUACCAUUGAUAAUCAAUCCCACGUGAUUGCUCGUGCCACAUAAAUAAUUUAGAUUUCCCACUACAUCAUACAGUCAUGGUGUUCACUGUUACCUCUCUAAAACUUAGCUCAGCCUUUUUCUGUACCCGAACCAGGUAAUCAACAAUUUAAUGUUAAUUAAACAAAUCGCACUACAUUAAAACCUAAUUAAUUUCAUUUUCUACCCAAAACCAGGAGAGAGAGGACAGGGACAAAUAUCUACUACUAUUGAACGUACAGCAUUGACUUAAACGGGCCUAGCAGUAGUAGCAUACAAUCAAAGACGUCACGAUAGUCAAAUGCAAAUCCAGAAAGCCAAGCCAUCAAUGUCGAACUGUGCACAAAUUAAACGGAAUGGCAGGGAAAAAAAAAUGAAAGAGUCUCGCACCUUUGAAAUCAAUGCUCCGUUUCAUAACAGGAGAAGGAGACGACUCGUCCUUGUAAAACGAUGAGUCAAGCACCGAUACCGGACUCGGUUGCAACUCGCUCGCAGUUAUUUCCGCUAUACUGUGUAGCAGCUUAUCACAUCUCUCCAAUAAGCUCCUCCCUUCCUUGUACUCCUCCACUUUUGAUCUCUACAUUACAAUUUAGAAAUUUAAUUAAUACUUGUUAUUAAAACGGAAAUAUUUUCUUUAUUUUUUGGAAAUACUAUCAAUUAGCAGCUUACCUCAGUAUCAGUUUGAGAAGAGGUGCAGCUUAUACUACAUUCAGAAAUCGUGGAUACUUCAUCCUCCGCUGGGGUGAGUAACUUAUCGUCCUUGUGACAAAUCUCAGCCAUUGGUUUGGCCAAUCUCGGAGAACGGUUUGUCGUCUGAUCUGAUCCAAUCCUUUUCACUUUACUCCUUGGAGAUACUCUGCUCUGCUCCAUAACCGUGGACUCAUUAUUCACUUUCCUCUGCGUAUCGAUACUCAACGGUCUUCUCCUGCUUGGACUUCUAAUGCUGGUCUCGCUUCUGGUCGGCGAAAUCGAGUUUCGUCCUCGGAUAGGACUGCUGUGGUUCCGUACAUUCCGGUCAAUCUCCGGUCUGUCACGUCUCGGGCUCACCCCUGGCGACAUCUCACCGGAGAAAUUCAAGCUCCAACGAGUUCCUGCCCUUCGAAAACUUGAAGGAGAUGACGAGUCGUUGCCGGCUAUUCCUUGCCGAUUAAUUGCCCCCGGUUUCAUAACGACGAUUGGAGAUUCAUCAUAGGCGAAGUUUCUUAGACUUGAAGCCUGGCUUGAGGGUUUCUUCGGAUGUAAAAGGCCUUUCAGUUGCAAAGCUUCAAGGAUUUGCUUAAGAGUUUCGAGAUCCUUAGAAGGCUCGUCGAUUCCUCGCAUUUUAAGCCUCUUCUCAAUCUCUCCGUAUAUGGAAACGCUCUGUUUCGGCUCGGGAAAAAAAUCGGCCGAGUCGAAGAAGCUCUUCUUUUGCAGUUGAACUAUUCCUCUUUGGGGUGCUUUAGCUGACUCGCUUCUCACACUUCGUACAUUGAGCUGCUUUGGAUCUACACGUCGCCCAUUCACCAUUCGUUCUUCGGUACCUGCAUUGUUUUGAUUUUGCCUCGCAUUCAUCUGCGAAUACGACGGCUGCGAUUGUUUUAACUGAAAGUUAAUCCCGUCGAUGAAACGAUACUGAUCUUUGGAGACUCUAGACUCGGAAGCGGAUCUUCGUAGCUCCGCUUUCUUAGCUGGUUCAGGAUCCGAGUUAGGCAACGAUUCAAGUCCCAUGAGCCUCGCGAUGACGCUCGUUGAACGUCGCUGCUUUUCUAACUCUUCUCCCGCUGAUGCUUCUUCGGUGUUUUCACAACGGUUUGCCGAUAAAAUCGCGGCGUUAGUGCGGAUCUCCCUGGGUUUGAGGCUUCCCUUGGCGUCAACAACGGCUCUGCUGUCUAGAGAAAGCCUGGGAGCUUCUUUGCAAAACUUCCACGACGAUCUUGUACCUUCCUUGAAUUCGAAAACCGGGAGAGGAGGCGCCACCUUGCUGUCAGUCUUCAACGAAGUUGCAGGCUCCUGCGCCGGAGACGGAGACGGAGACGGAGACGGAGGCCGAAGCUCCGUCACUGGAGAUUGCUUGAAGCGGUCCGGGGACGGUGUAGAUUUCCCUUGCUGCUGCUCUCUCGAAAUAGUAGAGGACUCAAUACUCUUCUCCGAUUCAAAGGUAGAAUCAGCAGCCUGAAUUUAGUUUCAAAACAGUGAAAUAAGCAGCCAAACAGAGCACAAAUACAGAAAAAGACAUAAUGAUAAACUGACCAGAGAGGGAGGGAGGCGUUUGGUGGAGCUAAGGCGUUUGCCGGUGAGAAUAUGAUGGCGGUCAAAGAUCUGGAGGAAACCAGCCAUGCAACCCAUUUGCUUCUCAAUCUGUUUCUCUAGAUUCUGCUCAUGUACUAUUCCGGUCGUCAUUUUCUCUUAUUAUUUCUCACUUUCAAUCUUCUUUUUUUUUAAAAAAAGCACGCCUGCUCUCUUUUGUUGGCCUAAAAAAAUCUCACUCUCUCACUUUCCGAUCUCCAUUUUUCACAUUCCUCAGUUGCUCUGUUUGUAUCUCUAUAACUUCGCCUCUAUCAACGUCUCCCGCUUUUCUGGUCUUUUAAAGGGUAGGCGAAGUUAAGGCUGAGGACAGAAUGCGGGGCCAGACAAAAAGACAGGAACUGCCCUUUUCGUUUGAUGAAAUUUCAGAAAAGUCUUCCUCCAGAGUUUCGGCCCUAUAGCUGUAAAUGGCAAUUGGGUCCUCCACCAAGGGUGGGCUUGAAUUUGAGAUUGCAUAUUUAGGGCCUUGUUUAUAGUUGUAGAAAGAGCACAAAUGCUCCGUGGGUAAUGCUGUCCACGUGUCCGAUUCCACUUCCUUAAUGUUCGUAACUUUGAACGAUGACCAACUUUGACCAAUUUUUUUCCUAAACUAGCCCCGCCAUCUUGCGCACUUAAUAAAAAAAAUGGUUCAUAAUGAUUGAUGACACACUCGUCUGCAUGCAGUGACGCUCAAUACCAUAUGACUUUUCAGUCCCUUGACUGUUCUACAACAGCUUAUUGGCUAAAACCAAAAUACUCUGAACGAUUCUUUGGCUAUAUUAUAGAGUACUAAUGUAAUUCUCCAUUUUCAAUUAUUCUUUUCUCUAAGAAAGAAUCAAUUGGUAACUUACGUGUAUUUUAAGGCCAUAUGAUUUUCCGAUAUGAAGCAGAGACCGUUCUCUGCUAUCUCCAUUUAUGAUCAUCAGUUGCGGGUGCAUAUGAACCAAUUUAAGGCCGCAAUNNNNNNNNNNNNNNNNNNNNNNNNNNNNNNNNNNNNNNNNNNNNNNNNNNNNNNNNNNNNNNNNNNNNNNNNNNNNNNNNNNNNNNNNNNNNNNNNNNNNNNNNNNNNNNNNNNNNNNNNNNNNNNNNNNNNNNNNNNNNNNNNNNNNNNNNNNNNNNNNNNNNNNNNNNNNNNNNNNNNNNNNNNNNNNNNNNNNNNNNNNNNNNNNNNNNNNNNNNNNNNNNNNNNNNNNNNNNNNNNNNNNNNNNNNNNNNNNNNNNNNNNNNNNNNNNNNNNNNNNNNNNNNNNNNNNNNNNNNNNNNNNNNNNNNNNNNNNNNNNNNNNNNNNNNNNNNNNNNNNNNNNNNNNNNNNNNNNNNNNNNNNNNNNNNNNNNNNNNNNNNNNNNNNNNNNNNNNNNNNNNNNNNNNNNNNNNNNNNNNNNNNNNNNNNNNNNNNNNNNNNNNNNNNNNNNNNNNNNNNNNNNNNNGGGGGGGGAGGGGGGGGAAUAAUAACACACAUCACGAGCAUAGUUGAUAAUUCUUGAGUGUAAAUGUAAUAAUGUUAGAGAAAAAUAAAAUACAUUACAUUGCAUUACUCCGUUUAAACGGUAGAUAUAUCAUUUAUAUGGUAAAGUGUAGCCCGUGACCGUGAGCAUUGGUAAAUUUACCCACCAUGACUCAUGAGUCGAGGCCACGCUUUUGUUUUGUUUUUGUCCAUCUACGUCAUCAUUUUUUCUCAAAUAGCGUGCGUGCGUUAGCGACAAUUUAAAAGCCGAAGCCUUGCAGCCACGCCCACGCGGCAUCCCACAAACUAAACUUGAUUUUCACCUCCGCCACCGACUGACCAAAACUACCCGACGGAGGUUCGGGAAUUGGAACUCAGCCACCGCCUUUCCACGGUUGGAACACGUGGCCUCAAUCUAGAGUCACAGCUAGCUACCAGGUAAUACCACAGAGGCACAGAGGUAGCUGACCAUGACAAGUGACAACAGUUCUAUAUAAUCAAUGGGGUAAGCAGUGGGCCCCCUCACGGAGUAUGCCACGUAAGCCACGAGAAUGAGAGCAAUUUAGUUUUUGCUAUUCGCUUCACACGGAGGGCGCGUUUACUAGACAUAAUAAGAAUACGGUGGACGAUGAGAUGAGCUGUAAUAACACUAAAUUAGAUAUAAUAUUUUGUGUAAUUUAAGAUAAAUAAUUAUGUAUUAUAUUUGGCAUAUUAUUAGAUUAGAUAGGACUGAUUAAUAACUAAUAUAUUUAUUUUAUGUUAAAUUAAUUAUUAUAGCAGAACUUAUAAUAAUAUUUUGCUCUUUGUUUUUAUUUUUUUUACUAUUUUUAGUCUAACUCAUUAUCUACUGACUAAAAGAAAAAAUGACAAACCAUUCUCUUAUCCAGACUAAUAACAUAAGAUAAGAUUUUAGCUUUAAAAAUCUUAUAAGCUAAAAUCUUAUAAUAGGGAUUCUAUAAGAUUUAUGUAUCAACUAUUCACAUGAUUAAUUGGUGGGAUUUAGAUUACUAAUCUUAACUCUAUUUUGGCUCCAAAGUCCAAACUCUAGAUUAAGGAGUAGUUUGGCAAUAUUGUAAUUUUUAAAAUAAUUAUUAAUAAGUAUGUUGUAAAAAUAAUCAACAGUAAAGAUAAUUUAUUAAAUAUUUAGUAAAAUUUAUAAGUUUUAUAAGUAGUAGUAUGUGUUUAGUAAAUUUUAUUAUUAAACUAUUGUAAGAAUAUAAAUAAUUGAAUUAAAUAUCAUGUUGAAUAAAAUUUAUUAUACAUUUAUAAACAUGUAUAUAAAAUAUUUUUUAUUGUGUAUAUGUAAUAAUUGAUAAAUGAACUAAAUAUCUUAUUCAUUAUCAUUUAAUUUUUUAUUUUGGUAUCUCAAUAUAAUUAAUAAUAAUAAUAAUAAUCUAUUUAAAGUUAACCAUUUUGUUACCUAAUUAAUAAAGAUACUUUUGAAUUUUUAUAAGAUACAUAAGGAUAUAUAUAUAUGGAAUUGUAAUGAGAAUAAAACUGAUUCUCAAAAUUAUAAUUUGUUAUCUCAUAUUUUAGAUUUCUAUAAAUAAUUAAAAAGUUACUUCUUUUUUAUUUUUCAAAAUCAACUAUAGGAUGAGAUAAUUUUAUCAAAAGUAAUUUCUAAAAAUAUUUAUCAAAUACUAAAAUUAACUUUUAACUUUUAAAAAUUAUUUUUGAGCCUUUUAAAAGCAAUUUCAAACCGACCCUAACACUACCUUCUCUUAAAAUAAUCCAAUUCUAACAUCUUUAAUAACCACCAAACAGCCCCUUAAGGCGGCCUUUGUUGCUUUGCAUAAAAAGAUCGCAUCCUCACAAUCCCAUGGACCCAUGCAUGUGUACAAAAAUGCAAUGGCUAAAAGUUCGCCAAUUAUUUAUUUAUUUUUAUUAUUAUCAUUAUUUCGAGGCUGCUAAAUACUUAUUUAAUUUGCGUAUACUUAUAUAUUAUAGGCCGAUUGGAAAGCCAAAGAAUUUUCGGAUUACUUUUACUAAUUAGAUCAUGCAUGUGGUCCGGAACAAAUGAAGAGGGCACUGUUUAUCUUUUCAUAAUGUGCACGUAUCUCUGAAUCUCGUGAGCGUUGAUUUGAUAUUAUACAGGUUGUAAGCUUAGAAAAAUCCACUCUUCACUAUUCUCAUAAUCCUUUCAAUCUACCAAAUGACUGAUUCACUUCUCCAAUGCGGAUCUCAAAAAUCUGGCUUCCCCACUAAAUUAAUCUUAAAAGAUUAGUUAAGGCGCUAUUACACUGGUGAUUUUUUCUUUUAAUAUAUUGCAUGACGAUUUCCUAAUAUUUUGAUAUAUAAGAAAUAUAAAGUGAAUGGUUUUGAUCUAUGCAUCGGCAAUGGGCAUAACUCAAAAUCUGCUUCAAUAAAAGAGAAAAUCUAUUUCAAUGGCUAUCCAAAAUCUGAACAAUGAUCAUCGUUUACCAUCUUUGUCGCUNNNNNNNNNNNNNNNNNNNNNNNNNNNNNNNNNNNNNNNNNNNNNNNNNNNNCAGCAGAUAACUUCUAAUGGUCCUAUGAAAGAAACCCUAAUUUACAAUUUUAAUUUUUCUCUCAAGUUGAUAAACUAAAGGCUACCGGUUGGAAGCAAUCCCUAGUCUUCUAAGGGAUUGGGGACUGCGUCCAGAUCAGGGACGGGGACGGGGAUCAUGGUCCCGCCCCAAAUCCGCACCAUUACCUUGUCUAAUCUUAUAGAAAUUAAUUUAGUUUAUUUCUCCUGCAGAGUAAAUUUUACGUGGCUGUGUUCUUUUCAUUUCUUUUCUUUUCCCUUGUUUGAAGAUAAUAUUAAUAUCUCUGUUAAGCUAUCUAAUAAGAUUAUAUACUUACGGUAACUUAUCUUUUACGAAAAAUUCUAUAUUUUUUUUUUAAUUUCGAACAAAGGUGUGACAUAUAUCAUCUAUUUAUACAUAUAAAUUCCAUUUUGUUAUCAACAGUAUCUUUCUAGGGGCUUAUGCAUUCAAUAUCUGUUUUGAAUUUCAUAUAUACCUGUGUCCUUUCUUAAUUGGGAUUUAUUCCCCCGAGUAACGUUAAACUUACUGCAUAAAAGAUAAUUUAUUUAUUUGUUCAUUUAUUUAUUUAUUUAUUGUGAGAAAUAUAGAAGCUAAAUUUUUAAUAACAUUGAAGACAGCUUUGCUUGUGGCUUCAACAAUUCAAUACACGGUUGAUAUGCUACACUAACAUCACAUUAUACAUACUCUUACUACAUAUUAUAUAUAUAGAGAGAAAAAGAAAUAUUUCAAAUCAGAAUCUUGAUUUUGUGAAAACUCGCAAAAGUUAUUAAACCAUAUUGUUUAAUAGUGUAAUGAUCAUAAAAACUAUUAAACCAUAUAAUUUAAUAAAUUUUUCAUAUUUUAAUAAAGUCUAAGAUUUUAAACCACUUCAAUUUAUCCAUCCAUCUAUCUAUAUAUACACACACACACACACACAUACAUGUAUGUAUGUAUGAAUGGAUGCAUGCAUGUAUUGGGCUUUUCAAUUAAGUCCUACUCGAGGGUUUCUUAAUUUAGAAAGAAGAUUUGAUUGUUUCUAAAUUUUUAUUAAUUAAUGUUUAUCCUCAAUAUUUGUGAAGUUGUAACAUGCAACUUGCUCCAGUGGGAAAGUAGAGGCAGAAGUUAAUGUAACGAAAACUAGAGUUAAUACGACCCAAAUGCUGAUCGACGCACUUGUAUGCUUAAUCAUACUGAAUUAAGCUCGAAAUGCUAAGUUUACUCGCUCAGAAAUUGAGGAUCCAAUAGCGAUCAAAUCUAGGCAGGCACUUUUGGUGCAAAUUUUGGUAAGUGUUCGAUACUAGUCUUCGAUUACGCAAAUUGAGUUGAGAUCUUUAGAAUGGUCACUUGAUUUAAGCAACUUCAUGGUCAAGUUGCCAAGAAGAGUCAAUAUCUUAAAGUAAGAGAAAAUUAGGAUAUCUUAAAUAAAUAUAUAUAUAUAUAUUUGUCUAAGCGACCUCCCUAAGAAUCACGUGGUCUUAUGUUUCUUCUUUAUUGGAUUGGAUCCUCAAUUUUUUUAAAAAAUAUUUAUGUUACAAUUUCACAAUCUAUUAAUAUUAGCAUAUUUAUUAUGGCACAAUUUAAGUUUCUACUUUCAUAAAUAUUAGAGAACAUCUAUUUCACCCAUAAGAAAAAAAAAAUUAUUUAUACUCAAUUUUUUUAUUUAAGAAAAAAAAAUUAUAAGAAUCCCUAAGAUGGGACUGGAACUCGCGCUAGCACUUUAACGGGGACAUUUUUCUUUUUUCAAUUUACCUUCCAAAUAACAAGAAGGUCCGCUUCUUAAGUUUGAUAGUGUAUUUAUACAUAGCCAAGGUCGAUUAUAUAUAUAUAUAUAUAUAUUUUAUUUUUUUUUUACUUUUUUUCGCUUAUGGCCUCGGCUUUUUGGCUGCUCAAUUUAUAGAUUUUAUUCUAUAAAUUAUUUAAGUUUAUGGUUUCUACAUUAUAGCUCUCAUUUAACCAAAAUUCCAAUUCCACGGUUCGCUGACGCUGAAGCAUCAUAGCAUUUAAAUGAUGUCAUGUUAGGGAGCCAUUUAUUUUUAAGCGUGAGUUCAAAUAUUGUCCGAGUGCGUCAGACUUGAUAUUAUUAUUAUUUUUUUUUUCUUUUUGGGUUAUAAUAAUGGCAGAAAGUGGAUGUAGCUCUCUCGUUGAAAGAAACCGCUUUAAAUUUGUGUCUGAUUACUUGCUUUUUUUUUUCAAAGAAAAAAUUUAUUAUUGCUGCUUUGCAGUAAGAAUUAGGACGUUUAAUCCCUAUCAAGACUGAAUUACUUGUGAAUGUGACAACAAAGAUUUGUCCCCGAUCUUAUAUAUAUAUAUAUAUAUAUAAAGUAUAAACCCCUGUUAACUGUAAUUAAGAAAUAGAGAAGAAUAUAAACUUAACUGAAUCCUGAGGAAUGGGAUCGAAGAGCAGCUAGCAGAAGAAUGCAAUAGAAAAUCAAUUUCCUGGCUUCCAAACAGACCUCAUGAACUAUAAUGAUUGGUGGGGUUGCAAUUCCAAUCUUGAAACUGCGGGGUGAGCGUCAGGGUCAGUGGUCAGGCUGGCUGCCACCCAUGUGAUUUGUCUUCAGGACAGAAAAAACGAAACCUUUCUGGGUUGCAUCAUGUGAGCCUACAUUUCUUUUGAGUACAUGCCCAGCUAGCCACUUAACUAUUCUAUUAUUAUUCUUCAUUUCAUUUCCUAUAUGUAUUACAUAUUUAUAAAUAUAAUGGACCUAACAUCUCAGUCAUUUGUCUUGUCGAUGCUCUUAUAUUCGUGUUCACAAUUAUAUUUCACACAAAGCAUGCACCUUUUAUCUCUCUCUCUUUUCAUUUAACCCACAUGCAUCUCAGAUCUCUGCAGGCACCUUCCUUAACUUUUCAUAAAUACAAUUUCAUCCUCACCCUCGGCCUAGCCAUCUGAAUCUGACACUUGUAAGUGUAAACAUGCAGAAACCCAGUAGUAAAUUAUUAGAAUCCAACUUUAUAGUAAGCAUCUAGGGAACUUAAUAAUAUAUUGUGGGCCACUCUCUCCUAAGGUUUCCAUGUCCUGGUUGCAUGAAUUUGGUGAGUCCGCACAUUUUUCAAUCUGUAAAUCCCAUGUUCUAUAUAUAUCAACCGACCCUCGUCCUCUGCACACAUUCCUUCAUUUUCUAUUGUGGUUCAAAAGCAGAUUUCACAUUCUCCCUAUGCACUAUAAUAAUAAAAUAAAAGAAAAAAACAAUAAUUAGACUGUCGUUUUUAAAGCACCAUCCUGAUAAAAAAAUCACUAACUGCUCGCCUCUAAAGUUACUGCUCGACCCUUGAAUGAAGAUGUAGAUUUUAUUUUACAUAGGGUUGAUCAGAUAGUGGCAGGUAGCUAGAGAUGAAUAGAUAGGAUGAAUUAACAAUAUUCAAAGUUCCUGUCAGGGGGGGAAAAUGUGCAGAUAUAAUUUUAUACAAAGUGCUUCCCAUAUGCUGAGAGAAAGCACUUCCCAAAUAACUUAUGUUAAAAAAUAGUUGAUUGGUCUAGAUAAAUAUGGGAAUGCUGAAUCAAUGAUGAAGAAGGAGAUGGGAUUCUGAUUCCCUCUCUCUAGGGCUUAGCGGUUGGACCACUCUCAACUUUGAAGACUACGCCCCCUCCACAUGGCACUUCAUAUGAUAUAUAUUUUGUAUUAUAUCAUGUGAAUUGCGAAGUGAUCACCACCCCUUGCCUCUUGAACAUAAAUAAUCCCUAAAGGCAGCUCCAAAUUUUGCCGCUUCAUUUUCAUUCCAGAUUCUUGUAUUUAUUAUUAUUAUUACAUCAGUUUUGCAAAAGAAUGUAGAAGAAAAUUGGCAGUAGAACUUCUCUCUUCACUCACUGCCAAGGUCAAGUCAAGUAGCAUCCUUUAAGGAAAUAAAGAUAAAGAUGCUUGAAUGAUGAGACUUCUGAUGAAACUUACUUAGUCUUUAAUUUUUUUUAUUUUAUCUUUUUGUUUCUAUCUGUUUUUUACUACACUUACCAAACAUUGAAUGUGCAAAUAAUUUUUACCCUGAUUUCAAACUUUUAGAUUUACCCACUAUCAUAUAUACUUAAUUUAUUAAACAUCUUAUUAUAGAAUAUUUUUUGUUAUCCGUCAUGUAGCGUUGGAGGCCAGCUAUCUGUGGCUAAUCCAAUGUUCAUCUCUCUUCUAGUGAAUAAUUUAUUACUGUAAAAUGGUAGGAGUCCUGUGUCCAGCUCUUAUUGCUAGCUAAUAUUGGAUGGAAUAAGUGUCAGGAUGAAGCUGAAACAAGAGUCAAAAUUUCGCUAUUAUCUAAAAACAAGUGCAUUUGCUAGCUGAUCACUAACGUGCAUUGCACACGACAUUAUUUUUACUUUUACUUUUAGGGAACACUGAAAAGACACCAAGAAAUUUUCUAAGCAAAUAACCCAUGCACAUGACUUGACAUAUUUGCAUGCUUUUUCAUGUUUUGUGUUAGACCUUGCCUCUUUUUUCUCCUAAAUUCUUCAUAAAUAAUCCAAAACCAGACAUCUAAAUCAUGCAAUUGUAGUUAAAGAGCGGCAUCAAAAUUAUUUUCUACGUUAUGUUGCAACUAAUACGUGGAUCAAUGUUUUUAACUUCACCCAAGUUUGGUCCCAAAGAGGGCAGAGCACUUGAACGACAACGGGUUUUGUCAGUUAUGUUCUCAUUUUUAGCCAUGUGAGUGCGUAUAAUUGAAGGAUUAUCGUUCCCUUCCUAAUUUAAUUUUUCUUUUUAAACAUCUUGUACCACUUAUACUUUAAUGAUAGUAUAUAAUUAGAAUUUAAUUACUUUUAUUUUUUAAUUUAUUAACUACCAAUUAAUAAAUUUUGCUUAAAAGAAUAUCAGCCAAUAAGAAAAUUUAAUUACAUUAUGAAAUGAGGUUUAGUUUCACUUUGUAUUUCUACUAGCACGAAGGGGUGGGUAGAGUUAAACCAUGCCUAAAAAAUUACUAGUCUGGUUCGGUAGUUUUUCUUUAAAAAAAUAAAAUUAGAUAUUAUGAUUCUGUGUAAAACCGAAUGGAUUAUAUCGAAACCAAGCCAAAAAGAAAUUUUCAAACCAAUUAUUUAAAAUUCUUGAACUGAACUGAAUAAAAAAAUUUCAGUUUAUUCCAAAAUUGAACUGAACCAAACUGGAGCUCAUAAUAAUUUAAUUGAAACCGAAAAACCCGAAUCGAAUCAGAAAACUGAAUAGAACUAGUCCAAUUCAACAAGCACCUAGAAGUCGCGUGGCAAUUUUUAUUUAAAAAAUUAUUUUUUUGAUUUUUUGGCUUGAUUUUCAAAUUUGAAAUUUUAAACAGAAAAUUGAUUUGCUAUGUUAUCUACCAUGGAUCAAACAAAAUAUCUAAGGGUAAAAUAGUAAAAAAAUUUAAAAAAUAAAAUGUUGAUACUUAACCUACAGGUGUUUUCAAUUAAUUUUGAAACUUGAUGAGCGAAAAUGAUAUAUUGUAACAAGUUAAAAGUUAAAAGUUAUAUAUAUUUUGCUAAAAUGAGGAUGCCAAUAAUGAAUAAAAAAUAUAUAUUCCAAUGCACUAAUAGAUAAAUACGGUUUUCAAUAUACUGAAAUAUGUGUGGCAUCAGAUAUCCUCAUUAGAGAAGAACUUUGCAUAGAGUGAGGAUGUUACUAACAUAUACAAAUCAAUACACUAAUAGAGAAAAAAUACAUAUUAUCUAAUGUAUUGAAAUUUAUUUUUUAUUUUCAUAUAUUUUAGUGGCAUUCUCAUUUUACAAAGUGAGAAUGUUAUCAUUAGAGAAGAACUAUAAGAGAGAGAGAGAGAAAUUUUCUCCAAUGAGAGAGAGAGAGAAAUUUUCUCCAAUGCAGAGAUCUCAUUUUAACAAAAUGAGGAGGCUAUUAAGAUAUAAAAAAUAUAGAUGUUAAUGCACUGACAUACAAAAAUACAUUCUCUGAUGUAUUUAAAUAUGUAUUUUUUUUUUGUAUUUUAGUAAUUUCUUCACUUUAUUAAAAUAAAGAUGUGUGUGCGUAUAGAGGAUAAAAUGAUUGCUUUUUUGAAAUGAUAGAGGGUUUUGCUUGUUUAUCCAAAUGAAAUACCUCAAGCUAAUACGAGAAAUUAUUCAUUCUCUAUAUUCUUUCUUUUUUUUUUCAUGAUGUUAGACCUUAUCCUAAUUUAAAGUAUUUGUGAUAGACGUGUAUAUAUUGCACACAAAUUGGAGAAUUUAUGUUACAUUAAUAAGUUUUAUGUAAUUGUUUUAAUGUGGAAACUUUAAAUUCUUAUUUACAUUGAUAAAAAUUAGGAUUGAGUAUUUUAUAUGCCAUUUUUUUAAUAAUUUAUAAAUUUAUAGUUUGAAUUAUAUAGUUUAAAUUUUAUAAUUUAUAUUUGUACUUUUGAAAAGAAAAAAAAAAGGAAAAUCAUUGGGUGCUGAUAUGAGUUUGGUAAUUGCUCAAACUUGCAGUGGGCGCAAUGCGGAUUUAAUAAUUUUGUUAUUUUGCGGCACCCGAGCAUGGCCGUUGCCAUCCCCACUAGUGAUCUCAUUAAGAAACUUUGGCGCGUUUGCAAGUAGAUUCAUUCUCUUUGGACAUUACAUUAGAUUUUAGAGAAUUGUUAAUUGUCUGUAUACUUUAAUUUGUACGAGUAAUUAAUAUAACCGGCCAAAGAAGAGGACAGCGUGAAAGUGAUGGUAAAGGAACUAAACGAUACGUUACUUAACGGCUGUUUUCCAAAUAAAAAAUAAAAAAAUUUUAAAAAAAAAUCUUAACGGUCUUUUUGGUUCCCCUAUUACCCUAUAUAUAUAUAUUGGAAAGAACGUAAUUAAGUAAAUUUUUUUUUUCCUCGGAAGAACAUAAUUAACUAGUUGCUUCUUUCGCUUUCCCCCUUUAAUUUGCCUGGGAAGCGUAGCCGAACUGCCAAAAAGUAGUGGGCUUUUUCAUCGAAGCAUGCCCACUUCACGUGGCUUGCGAGUCGUGCCUCUCUCUUCUUCAUCGAACAACCAAAGAAUAUGGUUAAUUUGAUUUUUUUUAAUCGUAAUAAUAAUGCAUUAAGAACUCUGUGGCAAAGUUUUAAUUCUUAUGACAGUUACACUUUGUUGUGACCCCAUACUAAGCUGUUUCUAAGGUUUUUCAUAAUUCAGUGAUAUACGUUUUCUUUUUCUGUUUUCUUUUAAUUACUGCAAUUAUAUGUUUAUUAAUAUUUAUAUUAGAUAUUUAUUGAAACCAUUUAAAUCAAUUUUACUCUGACAUAAUUUAAAUUUUUAUCGUCACAAAUAUUAAAGUACAUCUUCUCGACCAUAAAUCAAUAAAAAGGAUAUCUACCUCUAUUCAAUUUAAAAAAAUGAGAAAGAAAAUGAGAGUCUCUUUACAACUCGAACUACAUAGUGGCUUAAUUGAUAUUAUGUAUGUUUUAUUUUUCUUUUUUUUUUAUAAAAAAAUUAGAUUAUCAUGUGUAUGUAAAGAGUGCCCCCGUUGUAGAUUGACUAUUAAAAUGAAACAAAAACAUGAGAAAUUUUAAUAAGUAUUGUUGUGAUCAUAAUUUAUUUUACGGUGUUGUGAUUAAAAUCACUGCAUCAACACUGUGAUUGAACAUAAAUUAUGUAAAUGAGUAUAAGAUAAAUUGUAUAAAUAAAAUAAAACUUAUAAAUGAAAAAUAAAAUAAGUAAAUAAAUAUAAGAGUAGUAAAUUAGUGUAUUAUUGGUAAACUAAACAAAAGCCUACAAAUAAAAUGUAAAAUUUAUAAAUCAACAUUAAUGCGAAAUAAAAUAUAAAUUAUAUAAAUUAAUAAUAAGACUAAUAAAUAAGAGGUAAAACAAGCAAAUUAAAAAAGAGAAAUUAAUUGACAUAUUAUUGGUUAAAAUUUAAAAAUUUAAAAAUAUAAUAUAAAACUAGUAAAUCAACACUAUGUCAAAAUAAAAUAUAAAAUUUGAAAAUAAAAUAUAAGAUGUGCAAAAUGAAAAAUAAAAUAAGUAAAUUAAUAUAAAAUUGGUAAAUCAAUAUAUUAAUGGUAAAUAAAUUAAAAACUUACAAACAUAACAUAAAACUAGUAAAUCAAUAUUAAAUGCAAAAUAAAGCAUAAAUUUUGAAAAUGAAACAUAAGAGUGAUUGAAAAAAAAUUACAUGUGUAAAAUAAAAACUCAUUAUAAUAUUGAUUACUUUAUAUAUAAAUUGAUUUUAUUUUUAAAUUGAAUAAUAAUAGUUUUGGAAUUAUGUAAUACUAGUGCUGUUUUAUUAAGGAUAAAACUUAUUUUCGAAAUCAUAUUUUAAAAAAACUAUUUUUCAAAACUAUUGUAAGAUGAAGUGAUUUUGAUUUUUGUAUCAUUCCACACCUCCUCAACAACAACCCCAACUAAAUACAAGCAAGGAACAAGUUUAAAGUUACAUGAAUGAAAUAUACACUAGACUAAAAAAUUAUACAUAAUUUUAUCAAUAUAUCAAAUAUUUUUCUAGUAAGAUAAGAAUAUCCUUUUAUUUUGAUUUGACUUGAUCCACAUCAAGACAAAUAUUUUCACUUAAUCAAUUUGUGUAGAAAACAAAUAUUAUGUAAAAAAUGAAACAAAAAGUUUAUAAAUGUCCUAUAAUGAAUAUAUAAUUUAUGGUUAAACUAAUUUAAUAAAACUUAUUCUACUUGUUUUCAAUAAUUUUUUUUUCAAUUGAUGAGUUUUUUUGUUUAAAUAAAAUAAAUAAAUAAACUAUUUUUUUACUAACUGGAAACUAUGUUAAUUGUGUUAAUAAUUUAUAAUUUUAUAUUAAUUUAUUUAUCUCACCUUUCAUUUAUUAAUCAUAAGUAUAAUUUAAAAAUUUUAUAUUAUCAUGACAUUGACAUUGAUGUCAUAACAUUAUAAUAUUUUGCUGUAAUUGUAUAUGGCUUUCGUUUGGUACGAUGAAUAGAUAACAAAUGGCCAAAUAAAUAAACCUAAUUAAAUUAAUAAAAAUGAUUAAGUUUGGACACCCUUGACUCUAUAGUUUCACUAGUGGAAGUAAUAGCUGAAUUUAUAGGUUUCAAAUAUUUUAAAUAUUUUUGCCUGACUAGGAACUGGGACAAUCUGAACCAAACUGAACCCAAAAUUUGACUCGAGUUCUAUUUAGUUUGAGUUGACUCUUAAACCUGAAUGAGUUGCAAACUAAAACCUAAUCGGUUUGGAUUUCGGUUCGGGUAUAAUUUCAGUAUUUACUGUUCACUUCUACGAAAGCUGACAGCACCCAGCCACCCACCAACUCAAAUCCCUCAGCAGUAAGCUAACCGUCGUCAUCCUCGUUAGUCUCCGUCAUCAUCUUCCAGCCGCGCGAACGAACGGCCCCCGUUGAGGUUUUUUUAUGGCCGUCGUGUUCGUCAUCAGUUCCUAUCCAUUCAUCCUAAAGUUUUCAACUUUUUUCUUUUUGCUGUUCCAUAAUCCAUCGGUGUUCGAUGAUCAGAUUAAACUAAAUACAGCAUGCCCAUUUCCUUAUAUUCUCAAAAUUUUGUAUCCUUUUUCGAGUAUACUUCCCCAAUGUUUUGGAUUAGUUUAUUUCGGAUUUAUUGUUGAACGCAAAUGAAUUGAAUUCUCCAAGUUGUUAUCUAAACCAAAACCGAGUUGAAUUCUCCAACUCUGAAUUAACUUUUUAAUUGGCAACUCUCAUUGUAUUAUUUUAACUCCAAUUGGAUCUAACGGUCCAUAUCCGCAACUUACUUUUUGGAGGAAAAGUUUUUGUGAUCCCUCGGGGUAAAGUUUUUAGGCGCCUAAUGACCAAAUGACUGGUGACAAUGGCAUUUAUUUUAUCUAUUACAAAAACUCUCACAUAACUACUCCCCAUUUUAAAAUAAUUAUUACUUCUACCGAAGUUAAAACAACUCUUAAUUAUUUUUAAAAUAUGAUGGAUUGAAUUAUCUUAGUCUUGUUGAUGUGUAAGCACUAACAAAUCACAAGUGGUAGAGUGGUGAGGACCUUCUUAUCUCGUUCUUGAGAUACUAGAAUUUAAAUCUUUCCAUAUCGAUUGUGAACGUUAAUUUUCUUUCAAGUACCUAAAAGUACAUACCCCCUUAGCAACAGAAUGAACUCACGAAGAACAAAAGGUUUGGCUCGGGCAUGCCAAUGCUCUAAUGCUUUCAGCCAUUCAUGGCCAGCUGGUUCAUAACAAGAUGAUUGUAAAAUCUUUGGGUCUUCAUAGUGGGCCGCCUUCUUGAUGGUACAACUGUUUUGGGCUGUUCGAUGGCAGAACCCAAGCUGGUUUUGAAGACUGGCCAUGGCAAUGAGAAUGCAUUAGAAGUAGGCUUAAUUAACAUAGCCCACGGCCCCAUCUGGAUGAGAAGUUGUUGUGUUUGCCAACGAGUGAAUCGGCAGAUGCUGCCAUAUUUCCGAUGCGUCCAAAAUGAAGCAGAGAUGCCACCAAAACAGUCAACACUAAUAAUUAUUCCGAGACAAUCCAUUUAUUUAGCCGAGAUAUGCAGCAGGCAAGCAACUCCACUUUUAUAUCGUGUCAUAGUCAUCCUACCAAUAGGAAAAGUGCAUCCUUUUGGUUUGGUAAAUUAGUAAGUUAUUAUGUAUCAAAAAGAAAAAAAAAAAACAGUAGAUUAUUAUCCCUUUGAGCCGAAGCUUCGUUUGGACGUGGAGUUAAUAUCAUUCUAUCGACAAUGCAGGAAAAUCUCACUUACACAUGUGAUGUUACGUCAAAUAUUCAACACUCUAAUAACAUGUACAUGUUCAAGUUGAAAAAUAACCUCACAAGUUACUUGAUACUCUAGCUACAUUGUGAAUAAAUGAUUACAUACUUUGAUUUUCUUUCCCCCAUUUAUUUAUUUAUUUAUAAAUCAAAAUCACACUUCUUUCACUAUUUUUUUAAAUGCUUUAGUGAUCAUUAAUUUUUUGAAACUAUUUUUUUCCUCAACUUUACUCCCACAACCAUAAAAAAAAUAAAAAUUACUCUUUGUAAUACUCAUGAUUUGUUUAUUUUAAGGGUUAGAUUAUUUCAACUUAAAUUUAUAUAUUAAAAGAUGUUCCCAAUAUUACUGGCUGUUUCUUGAAAUUGAUAAGAUGGACUUCGUAUAUCAUCUUUAACAUAAAAAAAUAAAAAUCUUAUAAUAAUCUAAUUAGUAUUACUAACUAAUAUUAUAUUUUUUAAAAGUAGGAAAUUUCUUAGUAAAUUAAUAAUUUACUACUAAAUUAAUAAAUUUUUUUAUGUCGAACAAAGUUAUUAAUUUAUCGGAGAUUUAAAUGUAUAUAAUUUUUUUGUUUGAACCGCUUACAAAUGGUCCCCAACAAGGAAGGUUUUGUUUAGUCCGAACAGGAAAUACGGUUAUUUACGUAAAAAGGAGUAGAUGCGGAUACGAAACUAACGGUCCAUUACCAUACCAUUACAGAGACUAACCACGUGAUGGUACGAAACUUGAAACCGGUUUAAGUUACUGUCACUUGUGCUAAUCUUUUAGAUAAUUGUAUAUUAAUAUUAUUUUAAUUAAAACAAAAAAUAUCAUUAUACGCCAUUCUGUGCGAAGCUGUGACCAUGGAAUGAAUGAUCAUAACAAAGCUGUGUUCUGUCCUGUUCGUUAAUAUUUAUCUCUCUUUUCCAGGUCUGUCCCACUUCUAUUUUUCUCAAUCACGUUUAAUUUUUUUGUGAUUUUAUUACAUAACGGUGUUUUCAAAUUCAAAUACACAUAUGGGUCACUUUAGUUUUAGCUCUUGUAUUUACAAUUUCUAUCUUUUCUUGUAAGUAUAUUGAUUUUUUUUUUUUUGCCCCCUCCCUUUCCUUUUCUGUGGCUUCAAUUUAUUUUUUCCAAUAUUUUAUCUUAGCACGCGGCUGAUAAUAUUUGACAAGAAAACUGGUGUCAAGGGAUUUUGUGGGGCUUGAUGUAGAGUGCUUUUGUUUUCUAAAUUUUGUGUGUUUUGGUUUAUUUUGUUGUUCUGCUAACGGUAUGUAUCACUGAAAAUUAUAUAUUUUUCUUAUUUGUCAUUUUUUAUUGUUCAUUCUGAUCUUUGUUUAUUCGUUUGUAUUUGUGAUUUCUCUGUUAAUGGGUUUGUCACUUGCUGAGUUUUGAAGCUUGAAAUCUUUCAAGUGCUUUGAGGUUUCAAAAUUCUAUAUUUCAGUGUGGAUGGGUUGGGUGGAGUGACUUGUGUAAAUUCUACAUACACUAAUCAACAAUCAUAAUUUAUGAUGAUGUAGGUUUUUGAAUCUUUUUCUAAUUAGCUUUUAUUUAUUAUCGGAUUUUUCAGGUUUAAGAUUUGAGUUUGGAAUAAUGAAGUUCAGAAAAGGGGAUUCGGUUGAGGUACUGAGAAGAGUACAUGAUCCAUGUGGCUCCUGGUUUCCUGGAACUAUAGUUUCAGUAGAUGGAAAUGACUAUGUCAUUAGGUACAAAUUUCUGUUGGACGAUGAAGGAGAGCUAAUCUUGGAGAAGGUUCCUGGUGUGGACAUUAGGCCUCUGCCCCUGUGCGAGGCAGCAAACAGAUGGAGGGUUGGUGAUAUAGCUGAGGUGUUUGAUAAUCAAUGUUGGAGGGUUGGCAAGAUUGCGAAGGUGCUGCAGAACAAUGGUUAUGUAGUUAGGUUGUCUGGGUCCAUCCAGCUUAAAGAAUUUCACGUAGCUAAUAUAAGAGUUCGGAAGUCUUGGCAUAACAGUCAGUGGUCAGUGACUGGGAAGGUAAAGACAUGUUGUCUCUCGUUAUUUGACCUUGUGUGCAGUCUGGUAUUACCAGUUGGUUGUAGUUAUAUUUACCUCUAUUUCAUUUAAUUGUUUAUUUAUAAUUCUUCUUUCAGUUUACCUUAUGAACACGGCUGUGGUUUUCUUUUCAUGUUUCGCAUCACUGCUUAAUUAAAAGACUUGAUUGUUGCCUAAUUAAAAGACCUGAUUUUUUGUUCUGACAAAAAUCAAAUGACAUCUACCUUCUUGAGUUUGUGGAGGAGGAUUAUGUGUAUAACUGCAGCGUUACUAAUCUCUUAGCAAGUUAAGAGUCAUAAAUGAAAACCAGAGUACUUUAAUUAUUAUUCACAAAAUCUUCAGUUUUGGUGGUAGUUUUUGGCAAUUUAGGUUUAUCGGGAUUAUGUCAAUAGAACUACAGCGUUAGUUUUGUUUUCUUUAUAUAGUCAUUCAAGCUGAUUUCCAGAGCUUUUCAAGUUUCUGAUGAUGUAUGCCUUUGCUUUCAGGUUGCUCAAGAUAAACAGUUCACCACCAAAAACGAUUCAAAAUAUUCUUUGGACUUGUUGUCAAUAGCUCCAUCACUAAAGAUAGGCAAGGAUUUGCCCCUAGGGGAGGAUGGCCGCAAUGAUUCCAAAAUGUAUUUCCGAAUGGGAACCAUGAAAAGGUGCCAUGCUGACUAUUUUGAAAGAAACUCCAGGAACCUGGUUAUUGCAGGAAGCCACAAGAAAAGAAAUUCAAGUACUUGGGCGGGCGGAUGCAAUAGACCUCAAACAGGAACCCCUCCUCUCUUUAGACAGGUAGUUGAUAUUUCUUUCCCAAGGGUUCAAUUGGAUGAGAAAUUCAUUGGAGGAUCCACUGAUAUGGAAACUAAAAUGGCUAAAGCAACUACUGACGGGUUUCAUAUUUCUUCUACACCGCUUUUGUCUAAUGAAAAUAGCAAUCAAUGUUCUGUUGCUAGCUGUAGUUCGAAUGAUUUUGAUGACCAUCCUGCCGAAAAUGUUCAUGCAUCAGUAGAAAAUAUAUCUAGCAAUUCUGAUGCCGAGUCAUCAUUUCCUAGUUUGUCCGGCAAAAAACAUGAAUUCCCAUCUUCUAGACACAAACUCGAGGUCGACAUCCAUGAAUUAGAACUUCAUGCAUACGAGUCAACGGUGCAGGCACUGUAUGCUUCAGGCCCGUUAAGUUGGGAGCAGGAGUCUCUCUUAACAAAUCUCCGCCUCUCCCUUAACAUAUCAGAUGAGGAACAUCUACUCCAGUUGAGACACCUGUUGUCUGCUCAAGUUGCCUAGCCAUUGUUUUCCUCUACAUCCUCAGUCGUCAUAGCUCAGGUACAAUUGUCUUACAGGUGAACCGAAUAGAAAUAUUAAAGUUCCUUUCUUGUAAAUGUCCAGUGGCCGGAAUAAUUUCCUAAUUUGUGUAUUUCUAGAUUAGAUCAACUGUACAAAAUAAAAGUUUCCUUUUCAGCAUCCGUCUUAUUUAGUGGUGUAAUAGUUGAUAUCUUGAGCGACUCAUUCCCUAUUUCAAAUUGCUCAUGCUUUGAUCCUUGUGCAAGUUAAACUGAAUCAAUAAAGCCGCAGACUAAGUUUCAUUUCAAAACAUUGUCAUUUGGUGAAAUAUUCAGCUCACUAGUUUCUGCAUGGAACCUUUAGUCAUAGUUUUGUGAAUGACAGCACUAAAGCUUACUUCGCCGAUGAAAAUUGGCUUUGCAUAGUGUUGCUUUCUCCUGACUUAGUGGUUCAAACAAAACGAAACGAAACACAUUUAAAUAAUUUAAUUUUAUGUUCCUGUUUCAGGUGCUAAAAUUGAUUCAAAGAUAAGUUGAAAUUAUGAGAUAAUUCAGAAUAUUUGCAAGAAUUUAAUAGUUCUUUGGCUUACUUUUUGCCAAGAAAGAGGAACAUGGCCUAUAGGGGCAAUGGAAUGGAAAAUCCAGAAUGACUUCAACUAUGGUGCAGUUGCUAUUAUCAGUUGGAACUGUUUCAAAAGGUGAAAGAGGAAGACAAUCACUCUACUGGAGUUCUAAAACACAAUUUCAUCAGGUAACCUCUCGGGCAGACCCUAUAUGAAGGAGCUGAUAAAUCAGCUUGAUCUGUUAAGAAUCUCAGGGUUUCUGCAGUGGAUAUACUUCAUUUACAAAAUUUAUCUGAUACACAAAUUGGAGUAACCUAAAAAUUCGGUAUUGCAAAGGAGAAAGGACAGAAAAUUCAUUCAACAAUUAGAUGUAGCAUGUUAACAUGUUCAACGUGGAAGAUAUUUUGACCCGUUGUGGAACAAAUAGCAACAAAUGUUGGACUCCUUUAAGUCAGAGUAUCAUGCAUCUGCAUCCUCGUGCAUCCUGGGGACCUUCAAACCAUCGAUCCCAUAUUGGAUUUAUGGGGCUGUUUGUUCUGUGAUUGAAACAAGAUUAACCAAAAAGCAUCAGAGAUAUAAUAUCAACUUUAAGACUAACAAGGUAAGCAUAUACAUUGUUUGAAAUUACACUGAGAGAAGUGGAUCAGGUCUGGCUUCCAUAAACUUUAGCAAUCUGAAAGAGAGCAACAAAUGUGCAAUUAGUCUGAUCAAUCUUUUUACCAUAUAUUUUAUGAGAGUCAAUGCUCUGCUGUAUACUAUGCACAGUAUGCUACCAGUAUUAGUGGACAAAAAAAGGCGACGGCUGGGAGGCCCUUUGUUAUGGGUUGCUGACAGUAAACCAAACAGAGGAAUCCAAGUCUCCACUAAAUCUAAAAUAAUUUAAUGUUGGCUAAAAAGAACAUUGUAAUCUCCACUCACAGCAUAGUUCAAAGAAUGUAUACUUACUCGUCACAUAUUGUUGAGACAUUCUCAGUUUUAUCAAGCUCUUCCAACUCUUCCUGUAAAGAAAAUAAUAAGAUAAUAUCAACCGAGGACGCACUAUAAAUUGUAAUAUAUAUCCCAAGCCAUCCAAAAUUUUGAACUGAUUUUAAUUGAGAAGUACAGAUGAAAAUACUAUAAAAGAUAAUACUUAGUAAAUCUGUAAACAGUGUUGGAAAAUGCCCUGAGCAACUAGGAAACUGAUGCUAACAUACAUGAUGUAAUAACAGAAUUUUUUUUUCUUUUUUGCUUUUUCCUUUUUACUAGAGUUGAAAGAAAUUUCUAGAGCAUGUGAACAAACAGCAUAUAAGCAUAGAUACCAAUAUGGUAAUAAUAGCAAUCUCAGAGCGUCGCACGUUAUGUUUACUGUAGGAGAAUCGUAGGAAUUUAGAUAACUUUUCUAUAAUAAUAGACAAAAAGUUUGAAAUAGCCUAUAAUUAUGCCAAAAAUAUAAAAUUCUCAGUGUAACACCCAAGAAUCUUGGUGGACAAGCCAUAGUAUUGAGAAGUCCUGUGUUAUCAAGGAGGUAAAUAAACCUAGGCCAUCAAUGAUUCUGAACAAGAAAUUGGGCUUGAUCAAGCACUUUGUGGCGAUGUUAUUCCACACAGUGCACUCCAAGGAAAAGAAAGUUUACUUUAAUUUGGACUAUUCUGAAAGUUUAGCAUAGUCAGUCAAGAAUGCAAUUAUUUACUUCUUUGCAAUAUCUUCAAAGUCCACAAACUCAUCCCAAAUAAUUUCUUCUGGAUGAAAGAAAUUUUGACAUCCUACCUCUCGCAGCCAUGACAGUAAUGCUCUAAUGCAUUCUUAUAUAGAAUUUUGAUCACUAUUUGUCACCAGCAAUGCAACAUCAUCAUGAAAUUAACAGGUUCAAGCAAAAUGGUUUCAUGAAGAAAACAGUAGAAAAUUGCAUCAAACAUCCCUAAGACAGAUUAAAAAAGGAAAAAAAAACUCACAAGCAAAUGGUAACACAACACAGAAAAAUCAGCUCGAUAACAAGUCUAGAAUCAGAUUACUGUUUACUUUUACUUAUAAGUACCAAAACCCAGAAAUCAGAUUAUAUCUUCUCUGCUCAGUACAGAAGCUCAUCAAGCACUGAAAACCUUAUGUGCCUGCCUUGGCUUAACUCACUAAUACUAUAAAAACCCAAAUCAUGGAAUUAACCAGAAAUCCUCAUCUGAUGCUAUCAGCCAAACCAAGCCCACACAGUGUCCACAAAUGUCAAAUGCAUAGAUGCAUUAUGCCAUGCUGACUGUUCUAAACUCAAACUCCAGCCGUGUCAUACCACCAAAUCGCCUCCCCCAAAUAACUCUUAGGAGUUUAGCUGCCUCCUAAAGGUUAGAAACAAACAAUACUGGACAAGGAAUAUGCUCAUGAACAUCAAGGAUUUCAAAGCGUUUUUAGAACCAAUCUGCUUCCUUUUCCGUCAUUCUUAUUACAAUCCUCCACCAUCCGCGUGAUUUUUUUCCCCUUCUAAAAGGGAGGAAACAUCAAAAGGAAAAGUUGUAAUCUUGAAUAGAGAAGUAUAAAAAGUAUUUUCCUUUAUAUUUUAGGAAAGAAAAUAAAUUCCAAAGCUUCGGAAAGACAUCAACUUUAAACCAAAAUAUAGACUGAAUAUAGUACCAGGGACAGUUAAAAGUCUAAAAGAAAAAGCUUUGAACCUAAAAAGGCAAUUUCUUUCUCCUCGAAUCCCUAGUACACUACUCUAAAACCACCAUUACGACUCCCGUUCUUCAGUGCUAAAAACAAGGCAAAUUUUUUUUUUUUUUUUUUGGGGAAGAAAUUAAUAAGCACACAGAAUAAAACAAGUAUUAAAAAAAAAAAAAAACCUCCAAGAAUCUUGAUUCUUGCUCGACACGUUUCAGUUCGGCGAGAAUCCGAUGCUUUCCAGUCGUAUCGGUACCUCCCCCGGCUGCUGCUCUUGAACCUGCCAUCUGCUCAUCCCCCAACGACGCCGUUUCACCGUCCAUUAUUAUGAUUCAAAAUUCAGAAUUCAGAUACGCCAAGAAGUGUUCUCAUUCAUUCGUUCAACGACGUUGCGGCUGCUGCUGCUGCUGCUGCAUCGUAUGGAAAUGGAUAUGCAGAUGCCCCUGCAUUCAAAACGCAGAUCUGACUCAAUCCAAAAGCAAACAGUCCGUACUAGUUUGAUUCUUUCUUCUGACAGCGUAAUCCCCCAACCGGCCCUUGUUUCUCUGUACACACCAAUCACUUUCCUCUCCAAAGCUGUUUUUCUUUUCUCCUUAAAAUAAAAAUCAUAUCAAAAAACCGAUUUUUAUUUUUAUUUUUUCUCCUUUUUGUCGUUUUUAAUACAUGACAACGGUUUGAGGGAAUAUAAUAAGGAAUUAAAAAAAAAAAAAAACCGCAAUUUGACUAGUCAAAUUACAUUACGGCGUUUGUAUGUGGAAACGAAACUCAUUUGCUGCUUUGCUUCCCGGGUACUAGCCAACAGAUCUGGUAAUUCGUCUUGUCGUAUUAUCUAUCACACCAGAUGGUGUUGUUCCCAAUUAAUUUUAUUUUUUUUUCGUUUUUUUUAACGCACAAAUCAAUUAUUGUUAUUUUUUUUUAAGCAUUACAACCUGGGUUUAAAAUAUAAUUUGAACUCUGAGAAUUUAGAUUCACAAUCAUACAGCACAAAAUUUCACCCAACAAAUAACUUUUUAACUACUAUACGCGGUUUGUUUUUCUAUUUCUUUUAGGGGCAGCUUUGCUGUCUUGCAUUAUUCCGCUAAGUAUUAAACUAACAAAUAAAUAAAUAAAACAAUUUGAGGCCAAAAAUUCAAAAGUGAUCUUUUACAGCGGUGUCGACAUGAGGCACGAAUGUCUAAAUCAACUAUUUAUUUCCUUAUCUCUUUUGUAUUUUUUUUAAAAAAAAAAGUAAAAAAAAAUUGUAGCUGCUAUGAUUUCUGAGUGGGGUGGCCACUAGGAACAUCCUUUAAAAAUAAUAAUAAUAAUAAUUGGCCAGCUAAUGGGGUUUCUCCAUUUUCGUUUGCAAAGUGACUUUCACUGUUGUCCUUUUCCUGUUUUGCCCAUUGUUUUAUUCUAUGUAAUUCCUCUGCAAAUUUUACAAUAUAUUUAUAAAUAAAACGUUGCUUGGAAUUAACAUAGAAAAGGCGGCCAUCCCACACACAAACGUAAUCUUGUGAGAAAAAGGAAAAAAAAGUCAUGAGAAAAAUCUAACAAAAGUGAAAACAGUUGAGAUGUUAUUGAAGUAAAUGAUCACGAGUACAUCAAAUAUCAUGUUAUCAAUCAAGCCCAAUUAGAAAAAGAGGGGAACCGACAAAGCAAAUGCGUGCAAUAUAUUCUCCCAUUCUAAGCCAUUUCAAGCUCACCCUUUGAGACAGCUGGAGGGAAGUCUUCAGCACCAUAAGCUGAAUUAAUCCUAGACUCGUACUUCUCCCCAUCCCCCCACAAUGCAUAAGCUUCCUCUCCAUGAAUGGCGUCGUCUCCAGUUUGCAACUCUUCAUCUGUCAAUCUAAGCGGAACUACAAUCCUUAUCAACACGCAUAUGACACUGGUGGUGAAAAUGUUGAGAGCAAUGACAAACGAAAUUCCUAGCAACUGAACUCCCAUUUGCCUGAAUCCUGCAGAGGCGCGGUUGCUCUGGAAGCCAUAGGCAAGGCCAAUGUAGUGUUCCCAGUCAUCAACCAAGUAGAAUAUGCGAUUAAGUUUUGGGUUCGCAAAGAAUCCAGCAAGGAUGCCGCCUAGGCUGCCGGCGACGGCGUGCGUGUGGAACACUGCCAUGGUGUCAUCAACUCGCUUUAGCAUUGGGAUUUUCUUGUGAAGAACCAUCAUUGUGUACCAUGGAAUGCUGCCAGACAUCAUUCCCAUCAGUAUCGCUGCCCACCCUUGCACCACUCCUGAAUUUACGAGUCCCAAGUUAUAUUAAUAUUACUAAUACUACACUAAUUACUUUACUUAUACAGUUUUUUUUUUUUUUUGUGCACUUUACUUAUACAGUUGAAACUAAAUAAUUAAUUAAUUAAUAUCUCCAUCUGACGUACGUAUAACGAUAAGAAUUCUACUAUAUUUAACGAACCAAGGAGUAGAUAGUUUAUCCGAAAUGAAAUCAUGUGAUAGUAUAUUGGUGAAGUUUAUUUUCCGGGUACCUGCAGCAGGGGUGAUGCGUGCAAUAUAUUCUCCCAUUCUAAGCCAUUUCAAGCUCACCCUUUGAGACAGCUGGAGGGAAGUCUUCAGCACCAUAAGCUGAAUUAAUCCUAGACUCGUACUUCUCCCCAUCCCCCCACAAUGCAUAAGCUUCCUCUCCAUGAAUGGCGUCGUCUCCAGUUUGCAACUCUUCAUCUGUCAAUCUAAGCGGAACUACAAUCCUUAUCAACACGCAUAUGACACUGGUGGUGAAAAUGUUGAGAGCAAUGACAAACGAAAUUCCUAGCAACUGAACUCCCAUUUGCCUGAAUCCUGCAGAGGCGCGGCCGCUCUGGAAGCCAUAGGCAAGGCCAAUGUAGUGUUCCCAGUCAUCAACCAAGUAGAAUAUGCGAUUAAGUUUUGGGUUCGCAAAGAAUCCAGCAAGGAUGCCGCCUAGGCUGCCGGCGACGGCGUGCGUGUGGAACACUGCCAUGGUGUCAUCAACUCGCUUUAGCAUUGGGAUUUUCUUGUGAAGAACCAUCAUUGUGUACCAUGGAAUGCUGCCAGACAUCAUUCCCAUCAGUAUCGCUGCCCACCCUUGCACCACUCCUGAAUUUACGAGUCCCAAGUUAUAUUAAUAUUACUAAUACUACACUAAUUACUUUACUUAUACAGUUUUUUUUUUUUUUUGUGCACUUUACUUAUACAGUUGAAACUAAAUAAUUAAUUAAUUAAUAUCUCCAUCUGACGUACGUAUAACGAUAAGAAUUCUACUAUAUUUAACGAACCAAGGAGUAGAUAGUUUAUCCGAAAUGAAAUCAUGUGAUAGUAUAUUGGUGAAGUUUAUUUUCCGGGUACCUGCAGCAGGGGUGAUGCAGACCAAGCCAGUGAUCAUGCCCUGAGUGGCACCAAUAACAGAGGGCUUUCCAAAGAAAAGAAUGUCGAGAAUAAGCCAAGUAAGCAGGCUGGUAGCUGUGCACACGUGGGUGUUAAGGACGGCUAGAGAUGCAUCUGUGCCGGCGUUGUAAGGGUCUCCACCGUUGAAGCCAGUCCAUCCCAUCCAAAGGAGACCUGCUCCUGCCAACAUCAGCAAGAUGUUGUUUGGAGGGAACCUCUCCCUGUCCUUGGUCGCCCUUGGUCCCACCUGCACAUUAAUCAUUUUUUGAACUUUAGAUUCAAAGUUGAUCACUUCAGUUAUAUAUACAUAUAUACGUAUUAUGACUACGUACGGUAAUGUAUUAUAUUAUAUUUUUCAAUUGGUAGGUAUUUAGUUAGUUACCACUUACCCAGUAAGCUGCAGUGAAGCCAGCGACACCAGAGGAUAAAUGAAUGACAAAUCCUCCCGAAUAAUCAAUAAUGCCUAGCUUAGCUAGCCAGCCUUCCGGGCACCAUAUACUAUAUGCCCCAAUGGUGUAAGAAAAGGUCAACCACAGCGGCACAAAUAACAUCCAUGCAUGAAAAUUCAUCCUGCCAAGCAAUGCUCCCGCAAUCAGGAUCAAAGUAAUAGCCGCAAACACAAACUGAAAGUAAACCAUUGUUGCAUUCGGCAGGUAGCCCGCGAAGGCUCGACUCAGGAGAAAAUUCUCGUCCAAGGAGACAUCGGGCCUUCCCCAGAAAUGAAUCAUCUUUUUCCCAAACGACAUCUGGUAGCCCCAUCCGACCCAGCACACCAACACGGCCGCGAAGGCGUAGAGGGCCAUGAAGGCCGAGUUCACGGCCCAUUUCUUCUUGACGAUGCUGCCGUAGAGGAUGACAAGGCCCGGCACGCUUUGGAGGCCCACCAGCGUCGCCGCGGUGAGCUGCCAUGCAUUGUCGGCUUUGCUCAUCCAUUCCGGGCUUGCGUCGUCAGGCAGCAAGUUCUCCGGGAGGCCACUCACAUUAAAACUCAUAUUCGGAAUCGAGUUGGGCUUGUCUUUCGAGGAUAUUAAAAUAACGAUGAUACUGCGCAGUGGAAUGAAUGGAUGGCGUGCAUUCCUUAUUUAUACAUAUUAAGAGUUUUUUUUUGGAUCUGCUGUAACAUGCUUGGAUUGUGUCACUUUCUUGUAAAUUGGUUGUGUAUAACGGACGACAAGACAGCUUUGUUCUGAAAUUAAUAAUUUGCCCUUGGAUUAUACAUGAGUUGAUAUCGUCAUUCUCGGGACAACUGCGUCAACAUAUUGGAAGAGGGUGUCUGUUUCUUCAUCAGCGGAGAAUCCAACAGUUGCUUCGCCAGGCACUGGAAAUUCCGCCCAUAACUGGUUCGCACUUCUAAUUAGACUUCUGAUUGAUACUUUCAAAGUGCUUGUGAUCAAUUGUGAGAUUGUUGGCAUAUAAAGUUAUAAAGGGGUAAUUUGGCUUUACUCAGUGAGCUAAGCUAUCCAGACCAGGAGGUCAAUGUGUAAGCUGUAGUUAAAUGAACGUAAUUGGUGAAUUCUGUUGCAUGAAAGCGAAGACAAAAUUGAUGCAAGAAUAUGUGAAAUCCUAGGCAAGCUGUGCUGAGAUGGGAAGUGAAAAUAUUGUUAUUAUUAUUAUUUUAAAGCCGAUAUUAGGUUCCGCAAACUUACGUAAUUAAGGUUUAUUAAUUAUCAAAUAUGUUGACAUAAACUUGUACAAGUUAAGUUUUUUUUUUUGGGUAUAAGUUAAUUUUGUAUAUACAGUACAUAGGGUGUAUCGCAUAAAUUGUCUUAUAAUUAUUCCCGAGUAUAUACAAUGCAAGUUUUUUUUCUCCCUUAUACAUUAUCAGUGGAAACCAAUUCAGUAAAAAAAUUCGACUUGUUGCUCCAAAAUUCUUAUGAUUUUUUUUUUAUUUGGUAAAAACGUCAAAGUUUAAUUCGUGAUAUUUUUAUUUCUCACGCUUUUGAAGAAUAAAUAGUUGAUUCAAUAUUUUCAAAGGAUCAAAUCUAGUUAUAAUGCUAAAAAACACAAACAGAUGAAAUAAAAUAUGUGGUUACGACUGAUUUUACAUUGUAAUUUUGAUAAAUUCAUAAUAAUCCAAAAUUUAAAAAAUAAUAAAAAUCAAGAUGUAUAACUACUAUAGUAAAAGAUUUUAAUUGCCUCUUAUGCAAGCUAUAACCUAUUAUAUUACUACCGCUUAUGCUCUUUGAGAAAGCCUUACAUCCUCCCCCUCUGAUUUACCUCGAGAAGAAGCUAAUAGAGAGAGAUUAAUGAAGAAAAAGAGUACUUAAAAUUUAUGAUUAACAAACUUUAUAUUUUCAAUUUCUUAAUACCAUGAAUUAUUAAAAAUAUCAUAUUCUCUAAAUCGGAAGUUAAUCUAUUAUUGGAUUUUUUAAUAACUUAUUUCAAAAAUAUUGAAUAAUUUAUUUAUUUAUAAAGGUUGGAGAUUGAUAAAACCUAACCUAAUUCUUUUUUUUUUUCUAUGAAAUUUAAUCCUAAUAAAAGCCUACUGAUAAUAAUCCAAAACCUAAUGUUAGAAUCAACUCAAUUUUGACAACUAGUGUCUGGUGGUAUUAUGGUCAUGUUAUGAAUUGAGGUGUUACAACUUUUAAGGUUGGAAAAAACUUUAAUUAUGAAAUAUAAAUUAAUAAUUUGUGGUGCAUAUAAAUUUUAAAUAAUAAUUUUGAUAAAAUUAUUAAAUAUAUAAUAAAAUUUUUAUGAUACAAGUAAAAAAUUAUAUCAAUAUAACUUUCACAAUACAAUAGUUAGUAUUUACUAAAUAUUUUAACACUGUAAUUUUUAAGUUACAGCUAUCCAAUUUUAAUUUCAAACGCACCCUAUGCCAUCAGAACUUCGAACAAAUUGUCACCGAAUUUGUGGUGCCUGUGAGUCACAGGUUUAAAACUUAGAAAACUUUUUAUCUAGUGGUGCCAACGAUCAAAGCAUCGGGACUAAAAAGAUAUUUCAUGAAAAUGACUGUGAAUUAGACGAACUUCAACUAAAGUGGUGCCGACGGAACAAGCCAUUAGCCACUCCGACCGAAAAAUAUUCAAUCCAACUAAGUGCGGAGCGACGUCGUCAGGGUUAGUGCUUCUUUUAAUCAAUUUUACAGUGUUCAAUAGGGGUGGGCAAAAUACCCAACCCGACCCGAUCCGAAAAAAUUCGGGUUCGGAUCGGUUCGGGUUGUUAUUGAAAUCCGAAUGGGUGAAAAAUUACAAACCCGAUCGGGCUGUGAUCGGGUCGGUAAAACCCGAUUCGAUCUGAAUAUCCGAUCGGGUCACACCAAAAAAAAAAAAAACCUGACUAAAUCUAUAAACACAUCACACAUGCACACACCACACACCACACACAAGGGCGCACACAAAGUCUCAACUAAAAAACAAUUAGCUAAAAAACAAUUGACAAAUAAAAAACAAAAUCAAAUUAUAACCCACGCACACAACCAUAUCUCGCUACUUUCACAGCCCUCAUCUUCACAGCCCUCUCAUCUUCACAGCCCUCUCAUCCUCACACUCAUGACUUCACGUGCACAAACACAUCCUCAUCCUCAUCCUCACGCUCAUGACUUUCACAGCCUGCAAACGCAGAGAAGAGAGCGGAGGAAGCACAGCCAGCGCAUGUAGCCACCUAACCCGCGACCGGAUCUACUGCUCCGCAACAUCCGUAGCUACCAGAUCUGCUGUUACCGGAUAUCUACCAAAUCUGCUGUUGCCGGAUAUCUACCGGAUCUGCUGCUACUAGAUCCGAUGCGCUGCUAUCGGGUCAGAUGCUGCUGGAUCUGCUGUUGCAGCCUCCACCAUCACCAGGAUCUGCUGUUGCAGCCUCCACCAUCACCAAGCUCCACCGCGAACUGGCAAUCUGAAUUCUUUUUUUUUUCUUGCUGUUUUGAUGGUAUAUAAUACUAUAUUAUAUAUUAUCUGUUAAUCGCUAAAUAUAUGUAUUGUUAAAUGUUAAUAAUAAAAUGAGGGAAAUUCUUGUAUGGAAAAUUUUGGAGCUUAAUUUAUUAAGUCCGUGGAAGCUUAAAUUAUAAGUAUGAAUUGAUUUUUUUUUUGUUUUGUUUUUAGUGAAUAGAUUAAGCACUAAAAUUAAAUAUUUUACUUUGAUCUGUGUAGUAGCUUCACUCGAUCCGAAUUAGCCCGAAUUUAAUCCGAUUAUUUGACCCGAUCCGAUCUGAUCCAAAUAUGUUCGGAUCGGGUCGGAUCGGGUUAUAACUUCGGGUUAAGUUAGGAUGAAUUCUUUUCUAACCCGAUCAACUCGAAAAUCCGAUCGGGUUGAUCCGAACUCGACCCGAACCCAAAAAUGUCCACCCCUAGUGUUCAAUCAUAAUAAUAUGCAUCCAAAAAAAAAAUCAUAAUUUUUUUGGGCAUAAUAACCAAGAAAUGAUUAUAAAAUUAAAAAAUAAAAAUAAAAAAAGUGAAAAAUAGGCCUCGCUGCUGGUGUAUGUGAUUGUAACCGUUCGAAUUUAUGGACCCCACAAGAGAACUAGUUAUGGCUCACAUAAAUUGCCCUUUUGUCUGAUUGGCGUGGGCGGGUCGUGAGGCCAAAACCAGUGUGUGUGGUUCACAUGUUUCAGUUUCACUUCAGCACAACGCAAGCAUUUUGUCUUUUCCUCACAUCGUCUCACUUCAGUUGGCUGUCGAGCCCUAGUUCUAAUUGCUCAGUUGCUCUCUCUCUGUAUCAGCAUAACAAUUCAGAACCCUAAGAUACAAUUAAAUUGCUUUUAUUUUGUAAGUGGGCGUUCCUCAAUUUGUUUCCAAGUUAGUGAAAAAAAAAAAAUCACAACUCUUUCUUUGCGGGAUUUCUUAGUUUUGUCAAUCCAUGGCCUCUUCAAUGCUCAAUGGAGCUGAAACCUUCACGCUUAUCAGAGGCAUGACCCCAAAGGGGUCAAGUUUCCUGGCUUCAGAUUUUCACGGGAAGCAUAUUCCCAAACUGAGUUUAAUUGCCAAGCCAAGAACAGUACAGUCUAUCAAGUGCAGUUUAUCAGCAACCUCUAGGCCAGCCUCACAGCCGAGAUUCAUUCAACACAAAAAGGAGGCAUUUUGGUUUUACAGAUUUCUCUCAAUUGUGUAUGACCAUGUGAUAAACCCCGGUCAUUGGACUGAGGACAUGAGAGACGAUGCACUAGAGCCCGCUGAUCUCAGCAACAGGAACAUGCUUGUGGUUGAUGUUGGCGGCGGCACUGGCUUUACCACUCUUGGUAUUGUUAAACAUGUGGAUGCCAAGAAUGUUACAAUUCUUGAUCAGUCACCUCAUCAGCUUGCUAAGGCUAAGCAAAAGGAGCCACUGAAAGAAUGUAAGAUUGUUGAGGGCGAUGCCGAGGAUUUACCAUUUCCUACCGAUUAUGCUGAUAGAUAUGUUUCUGCUGGGAGGUGCAUAUAUUUAUAUUUUGGCCUUUUUUUAUUGUUUGGUGGUUGAAACCAGAGUCUUGAUUGUUCAUGAUGGUUUUUUUGGCAUUUGUGUUAAUUUUUUCGAUUCUUGAGCUACUUGCGCUUGCAUAUACUAAAUAUUUCAAGUUAACUCGUCGGUCAUCUCUUCAUUGUUUGGUAUCUAUUAGACUAUUGGAAUCAAAUUAAUGCCUACCCCUGUGAGUUUGAGAUUCCCAAGGGUUUUACGUUUAAAAUUUGCUUACUUUGAUUUUGAGAGAGAAAAGGGGAGGGAUUACAUUCUUUGUAGUAUAUCUAACAAGGACUGUUGCGUCUUCUCAGUAUUGAGUACUGGCCAGAUCCACAACGUGGCAUCAGGGAGGCAUACAGAGUCUUGAAGCUCGGAGGAAAGGCCUGUAUAAUUGGUCCUGUGUAUCCAACAUUUUGGUUGUCUCGCUAUUUUGCUGAUGUUUGGAUGCUGUUCCCAAAAGAGGAAGAAUACAUUGAGUGGUUCCAGAAGGCUGGAUUCAAGGAUGUCCAACUGAAAAGGAUUGGACCAAAAUGGUAUCGUGGUGUUCGCCGGCAUGGGUUGAUCAUGGGUUGUUCUGUGACAGGUGUUAAACCUGCAUCAGGGGACUCACCAUUGCAGGUAACUAUUGUUUAAUACUUGAUGCAUUCUUUGGCAUUUGGUUAAACCUCUAUCUUGUUGUUUUUUCUCCUUGUAUGACUGCUUGACUACGUCAAAAAAAUUUAACAACUUUAUUAUCUGCUAUGCGAAAAAACCUCUGCAAGAACUUUAAUGUUGAUAACUUGCUUCCUAUAUGGUCAGUUAGUGAUAUUAUCAUAACCCUUAAGAAUUUUUUUUUUAAAUUCUUUUUCCCAUGACAUUUGCAAUGAUUCUAUUUGGAUCAAUGUGAAUACAUAUUUAUAAAUUCAUUUGAGAUAUACUUGAGUCACUAAUGUAGAUUCACUAUUAGGAUUUCUUGUCUGAAGAAACUAGAAGAAGAAAAUAAGGGAAAAAAAUGUCAACAAUCUUGGCAAUAGUAGUAGCUACAGUCUGUACAAAGUAGCUGAUGAUCACCAUCUCUAUAAUAUCUUGUGCAUUCCAAAGUCUUUCAUAGUUGGUGUAAAUUCCUCAGUGUUUUGGUUCUUUGGUAGGGGAAUCCUUUUUUCUUUUUUACUUUUUCCUGUUUUUGAACAAUUGUUGGCUUAAAAUCUUGCAACUCUCAAAGCAGCAAAUAGAAUUGGUCAGAAAAUUCUACUGAUUGGACUUCUUCCUUUAGAAAAUUUAGGUUACUGGAGAGGCUGUGAUAUGUGCAUUCAGGGAUAAGUUCAGCAUCAUCAUCAUUAUGUUGUUACACUUCCAUGUCUAUUAUCACCUUUGGGAUAACCUAGUUGGUUCAGCCCUUGCGGUGGAAGCAAGAGGUCAAGGGAUUGAUUUUCCCACACACCAAACUUGGUGGGAAAAUUCUUUAAUUAGUGUUUGUGCAUGGGGUGGGGGUGGGGGUGGGAUUCGGGUGUGUGAAGUGCCAAAAAGGAAAAAAGAAAUCCAUAUCAAUAUUGAAAUUUAGGACUAAAAUCCUAACUUGAGCAAAUAUGGGCUGAAAUUUACGUUAAAAUCUUUUCUUUCUUUCUUAAUCGGGACUGAACCCUUCUUUAUGCGGCUGAAUGGUGAAAAAAGGAUUUACUAGUGUAUAUUUUUAUACUAUAAAAAUCUUUUUCCUGUUCUUUGCAGCUUGGUCCGAAGGCAGAGGACUUAUCCAAACCUGUAAAUCCAUUUGUACUCCUACUGCGUUUUGUAUUAGGUGCCUUGGCUGCAACAUACUUUGUACUGGUUCCUAUAUACAUGUGGCUCAAAGAUCAAAUUGUACCCAAAGGUCAACCAAUCUGAGGACAAAUAAGAGCUGCUUGUGACACUUCUUAUUUACAGAUGUUUCUUUUGUUUCAUGGUUAAUAAUUUCCUUCCACUUUGAAUUUUUAAUCCUUAAGAACAAUAAAAAUAUAGUAUGGAAGUUAUUUUCAGAUGUUUUUGGGCAUGCAUUAGCUUAUCAUCAUAAUUCACAAAAUUGGCUUCUAGUUUUAAUUUUCCAAGUUUCAGAAGUCACGGGCGUAGUAAACGGGUGCAAAUGUUGUAACAGGUUACCAUUUUAGCCUUUUUGUUCUGUCUCAAAGUCCGUGUUAGUUAUCGUAGUUGGAGACUUAUAACUUCAAAAGUAUUAUAUAAAUACUUGACCUGUGAUUUAAAAGUCGAAUUGAUUUUUUUUUUAAUAUUUAUAUGAUGAAAAAAUUUAUAACAUCUUUAUUUUUUUUAUUAAAAUUAUUAUUUAAUAGUCAUUUUUGUCACUGUUAACUCAUUUUUAAAAAAAAAUUAUUUUUACUGCACAUUAUUAACUUUUAUCUUUAUAGUUGUAAUUUUUCUCUAUGGAAAGAGUUUUUAUUACACAUUAUUAACUUUUAUCUCAUGGUUAUAAUUUUUUCUCUACGCGAAAAGUUUAAAAGUUACAAUGCUUCGAUACUAAAUAAGGCCUAAAAUAUUUAGUGAAAAUUUUUAGUUGUUUCAAAAUUAAGUUGAUCUUGUGGUCGAUUUUAUUUUGCACUUGUAUAAUAUUUUUAUCAUUUUAAUGGUCACAAUAGCAUUGUCAUUGAAAACGUGGACAAUAAAAAUCAGAACUUGUGAGAUAUCCAUUGAUUUUAGAAUUAAAAUAUCCAUUUGUUUAUAACCAAAAUAAGCACGGGAUAGCAAGUUUAAACAACAUUUCCUAAACUCAUUUGAGUGACAUCUUUAUGGAUUGGAAAGUUUAUUUGAAUUGAAGAAAAUCUUGACCUAAAAGAAACAUUCAAUAAGACACAUUACAAGAAAAUAUGGGAAUCUGGACGGUCUAACAUACCUUACAUUGCAAAAGGAAAGCUCAAGCUUAAUGCCACAUUCAUAAGCUUUUCUCGUAAUGCCUAAAAGAUUCAAAUUCAAUGUCAAAUAAGGUGCCAAGGCAUAUACUGUUUUCAUAGAGGUUUUUAUUAGAACCCAAGCUUGGUUCCCCGCUUCCAUGAUCAAGAAGGCAACCUGGUUCCAGUUCAGAACUAAUCUCUAUAGGAAACCAAACCCCUUUGCCCAGAUGGGGAGCUUGAUCUGGAUCUACUCGGAGAUGCAGAAGAUGUUUUACCAUGAUUCUUUGGCGGUGAAGCCUCGGGAGAUUUAGAAUGAGAAGAAUCAAGGCUCCUGGAUCUGGACCUUGACCUGUAUCUUCGUUUGGCAGGUGAGUGCUCUUCAUCAAUUUUAGGACCAAGGCGACAUUUUAACCCCUCACUAAUGGUAGGACGCUUAUCUCUCGGACUAGAACUCCGGCUCUGGCUAUCAUCCCCGUAACGACCACGAUAUCCAUCUGGACUGCGAGAAAUGCUCCUACUUCGGCGGCUUCUUCGUUGGUAUCUAUUAAAAGAAUGAGGCAUACGUUAGUUCCUUCAGUAAUGGCAGUGCAUUUGCUUAGAAGACUAAAUCACACAACUUAAAAAGUCUUUGAAGAAAAGAAAUGAUUAUAUCCUAGUGCAGCCUAAAACUUAAGAACUCUACAAAAAAUAAAUUUAAUGAUGAGGUGAAUCUGCAUGCACAAAUUCUAACUUUCACACCCUAUAAAUCACAGACACAAGCACGGCAAAAGAAGGGAGAGAGAACCUGGGGGGACUCCGGCCUCUUGGUGGGCUUCUGUAAUGUCUGCGUGGAGAGCGAUCAGAAUAACCUCUCUGACUCGAAUACCUGUAUAAAAAAUCACAUAAAAUUAAGAUAUAUGACAAAAACCAGUCCUUAAAAAAAAGGAUAAAUUUGGAGACAACAUUGGCUUUUUAAAAUUUUUUAAUAAAUGAAAAUCAAAAGUGUAAUAAUGGAUAAAAAUCAAAAUAGAGAAUGGACCAGUUGUCCACUAAGCAAGCAAAAAAGACUAUACAAAAGUAUAACCGCAGCUUAAUUCAGUUAUAUAAAACUGUCAUUACCUAUUUUGGGUCCUUUCAUGAAUAUUUCUUCCACCAUAUCGGUAGUAUCUAGGAGGUGAACGCUCUGGAGUACGGUAACGACGUGCAAAAGAGUAUCGUUCAGUGAAGCCACGUCCUUUUCUAACUCGUUUGGGAGUGCCAUCUGGUGAUGGGCUUCGAGACAAACCCCGACUAUGGUUUGAAGCAGAAGGUUCAGAAACUCUGCGGGCAGGACUCUGGUCACCCAACUUCUUGGGAGGACUUCUUCCAUCAUUCCCCAGGAUCCUUUUCGGACUCAUGCUAGGGCUGCUCCUCGAUCUGUUGCUUGACCUUCUUUUGGGGCUAGGAGUCAAGCUCCUGCCAGUAAUGUAGCCAUAAAAACUUUAUCAACAGAAUUAGAUAAAAGUACUCAGGAUUGCAUGUGAAAAACAAAUAACAAUACAAUGUCAAGACAUUCAGAAAGAAAAGAAGAAAUCAAAGAGAAAAACCUGGAUUUGCUUGAAUUGUCAGAAUAGGGAUGUUGAUUGGCAGUUCUAUUAGAUUUUGCUUCAGUGCCAUGCCCGUUGUUUUGAAGCUUAUCAUUCUUCAGCAAUAAUUCACCUUCUUCAUGAGAUGAAUUGUCAUCAGUUUUCUUCAAAUCAUGAUUGCUUUGCUGUUCCAUAACAGUUCGUUUUCCUGAGGGCGGGGUCAGGGAUUUCUUUCCCACAUCUGUAAGGUGAAAGUCAGAGCCGAUAGCUUCAAUCCAAUUGUUAUAUUCAAUUAUCACUUGCACAAUCAUUACUCAAACACUCAGUACUCUACGUAAGUAUAUGGGAAAAAAACAGACUGCAUUGGUAAGAAAACAUAGAAUGACAUGCCCAGAUUUUGCGGCCCUUUAAUACUUCUUGACUUACCAGUUCUUUCAUCAGCAGAGCUGCCACUACUACUCAAACUCUCAGAAUCACUUGAACUCCUCGAACUCCUAUAAACAAAGGCAAUAUCAACAAAUAUAAGCCCAAUGAACAAAGGGGAAAAAAAUAGGGGCAGAAAAUAAUAUUUGAACUUGACCCAAAUAUAAACCAGACAUUUUAGAUCUGCGUCUCAACCGUUUAUCACGCUGACUUCUCCUCUUUUCCCUAUGCCCAUCCUUCUUUUUCCUUCCACGCUCUCGCUUACCUCUUUUAACUGGUUUCCUUUUCCUACGCCUUCUAUCACCAGAGGAACUUGAUUCAGAUGGUGAGGAUUCAGAAUCUGUAUCUGAAUCAGAUUCUGAAGAAUAAGAGUCAGAGCCGGAUGAAUCAGAUGAAGGGUAUCUCCUCUUCCUUUUCUGUCUUCUUUUCUUUGAAGACUUUUUGUGCCUUCUUACUGUUUCGCCAUCAGAACUAUCCUCUGAAGAAGAAACAUGGCUUGCUUUUUUCUUUUUGACUGAAGAAAAACCAUAUUAUGAAUUUUAUAUACUGAGACCAGAAAGAAUGUUAUAUACAAUUACAAUCAGUUCGAUAAGGAAAUCUGGACAUCACUGCUGCAACUCAUGCAGAUUACCUUUCUCUUUGCCAUCCUGAAUUUUACUUUCAGAAAAUUCACCACAAUCUAUAAUUUUAACAGGUUGAGCAGGUUUACCGUCACCUGUUCCCACCUGCUCAAUUUUCUUAACGAUGUUCAAUCCCUUUACAACCUUCCCAAAAACAACAUGUUUCCUGCCAAACAAUAAAUAAAUGAGAAUCUGAUAACUGACAAUAGACAAAAUCUCAUCCUGAUACAAUUAGAUGUUUUACAAGAUAGUCAAAGAAAAACAGUUAAAAGCUUGAGGUACCAUGCGGAAGAAUGUAAUAUGUAAGAAAACAUAAGAGGCAUUUUACCCAUCAAGAUGGUGUUGCCGCCUGAAGGUUAUAAAGAACUGAGAUCCAUUUGUGUUUGCACCACUAUUUGCCAUAGAGAGAAUGCCAGGUCCAUUAUGAUCCAGUUUAAAGUUCUCAUCUGCAAAGAAAAAGUAGACCUUCUGAUUAAUCAAAAAUAUCCAGCAUGCAUGCACAUUUAUCUUUACAUACAGAAAACCUACCAGUAAAUUUCCCUCCAUAUAUACUUUCUCCACCAGUGCCUGCAAACCAAUUAAAGGUUGUUCCUUACAAGUCUGGGCAUAAAUAUAGAAGUCAAAUAGAGAAUCUGCAUUCAAGAAAGCAAGUUUAUCCUUUAAAAAUGCCAGAAUAAUAGCGCAUACCAUUUCCCUUGGAAAAGUCACCACCCUGAAGGGGAAAAAAAGGUUGGAUAAUUAGUACAUGGUCAAACAAAUGUACUGUAAAAGAAAAAAAAAAAAAAGACUCAUCCCUUACUCAUUUCAACAAUGUUAUUCCACUCCAGAGUUAUAUCACCCAUAUUUUAAAAGUAAAGAGCACGACUGAAAUUGCUAACUAAGAGAAAACUGUAACAGAUAGCUCAAGCCAAAACUGUGAAGGGAUGAGUAUCAUUACAAACAUCCCUCGAUAAUAACAUACCUGGAUCAUAAAUCCCUUAAUUAUUCGAUGAAACAUAGUUCCUUUGUAGUGGAGAGGUUUGCCGGUUGACUUUCCAAUGCCCUUCUCUCCUAUGACGGAUCAAAUCACAAACCCAUCAAUGUUUACCACAAUCUUGUACAACCAAUCAACAGUGCUUUAACACACCAACUACUAGCAGAAGUAAGUUAAUUCAAUUGUAUUUUACUAAUCCAAGCAAAUAGUUUCCCCACAUCAAUACAACAAAAAAUAAUAUCACAAAUAUGAAAAAAGAUUUGUUCACCAGAGUAAGAGAUAUGACAAAUUGAUGAGAAACUUGAUAUCUUCACACCAAAACAAUAUAAGGACAUCAAAAGAUAGCAAAUAUUUCUGUUUUCCAUUCUAGUCCACUUUAAAAAUCAUCAUUUUACUAAUUAUCCACAUCAUUGAAGAUGUAUUUGGCCAAUUAUUAGGGAACAAGCUUUGAGAAACCAAACAAGUCUUCAGUAGGUGAGGAAAAAAAAAGGCAUGUUUCACAAACAGAUUCCAUGCACAUGAAUAGCUUCAUCUGAAGACAUCUUUGGCAUUGAGGUAAUCAAAUUUACAGAUCAUUUUUUUUUUUUUUGUUUUUUUUUUUUUUUGGUUUUUUUUUUUUUUGGGCUUAUUGAAGACCGAGGGGGCCCACAUACCGGGGAUAAUUAAUCCUACUCAACUGGCGAGGUGGAUCCAGAUGGGAUGACGUGGAACAACACGAUUGGUCAAGGAAAAACUUCGAGUCCACGUAAGGGUUUUUUUUUUUUUUUUUUUUUUUUUUUGUUUUUUUUUUUUUUGGGGGGGGGGGGUGUGGUGUAGAUGUGGCAGGCUUUGGAAUCAGGGAUUUUCUACAGUUGUGUGAGUCUUAGCAUAGAUGAUAGUGAAAUGCAUAAAAAGUGCAGCCUCUGGUCUCAUUUCAAGUAAAGCUUCAUGAUAUAAGCAAAGACCAGCAGCAACUGUGCAUAUACUUCAUUUUACUACAAAACAAUCUAACAACCAACCAAAUUGAGAACAAAGAUGAUGAAAAUAUGCAUGCUCGUUGCAACCUGUCAACACCACAUGGGAAUUAGACAGCAGAUGGACAUUACUGAAUCGCGCAACAGCAUGAAAUAUAUAGUAGAACUAAUUAUUUCAUAUAAAAUCAACAUUUACUGUACAGUGUCAUUAUAAAAUAAAAUAAAAUAAAAAUGAAUUACCAGUACAGAGUGCCCUAAAAUUCUCUGCAGUCUUGGGAACAACAUCAGCAAAAAGCUAAUCAUCCAAAAAAGAAAACAGAUUAUUAAUAUACAUCCUAGUAGCAGACUGAAACCUGCUAUUUCCUUCCAACGAAAGGCUGAAAAAUAAAGUAAAUAACAUUUUGAACAAUGAGUUACCUCAAUAACAAUUUUUUCCACAGGAUCCCCAUCAAUUGAUACAUCUAAGAAAACAAGAGGGUUCUUUUUUUCACUCAUGACUCUUCACUCCAAAAUGCUGAAAUGAAAAGUCAAAGUCUGCAAAUAUCCUGUCAAAGCAUUAUAUAAAUGAAAUCUCGUUUAGGUUUAUGCAUAAGGUUGAUCUGUUAUGGUGUAUGCACAUUCAUUGUAUCCAGAGUGAGUGCAGAAACUUAUCAGCGUAGAUUGAAUCAUGCAAAAUUGGACCUAACUAGCUAGUAGUUUCAUUCAACUUGCGGCAGACCAGUUAUAUUAAGAAUUUUAUUCUCCUACUAACAAAUUUGGAUUACCUACCACGAAUGCAAAAAGGAGGUGCGGAACCUUAAGGCGUAAACAAAGCUCGAGGCAUCAAAAGAAAGUAUGUUUCAGUAAAGACCGAUGCUUCAAACAUUCAAUAGUAAUUUGUCCAUUUCAGCGUCGAAACAUGCACCUAUAAUCUUUAACUAUUUUGACAGCAUUUUCAACUGUCUAAUUGUAACAGACUCCACAAAACCCUAAACCCUAAUUUUCAUUCAAGCUCUUUUUCCGUACAAGAAGCUUCAAUCAUAACAAAUUCGUUCGAAAUUUCACAUAUUCCAAAGGAAAUGUCACAGUUUCCAAAGAACAGAAAUGAAUUGUAGAACUUGAAAGCUUAAAUUCCGUAAAAGUUGAAAACAAGCGAGCUGCAUAAGUAAAACGUAAACGAAGAAGAGUGCCGAGUUUACCUGCGACUUUGCCAAGAUCCGACCGGUUUAACUCAGAUUACAACUCGAGAAUUAAAACGGCGCCGAUAACCACUGGCGUAUUGUUGAAGUGCUUUGCUUGCUUUUUGAGAGAGGCUUUACCUAUUUGCUGCUUGCGAGCUGAGGAGGAAUCUACUAAACUGCGCGACCACUGUUUUAGGGUAGACCUUCAUGGUUGCUGGCUUUCUUUUAUCCACGUGUCAUUCGUAUCUCUCGAGGGUAUAGAGUUGCGUCGUCCUUACUCCUAAGAGCAUCUCCAAAAGACUCUAUAAAUGUUACUCUUCAAAUAUUCAUUUGUUUACCUAUGUAGCAAAUAGAUAAGUGAAAAAAUAUAUUAUUUUUUAAAAAACUCUUCAAAUAGAAAUGAGUUAAUAUUAUUUUAAUUAAAUAAUUAUUUUUUUAAAAGAAAAAUUAAUAGUAAUUAAAGUAUAUUUUUUUUCUUUAACAAAAAGUAAUAAAAUAUAAAUUGAAGAGAGAAUAUCAUUUCUUAUUUGAAGAAUUUUAAUUGGAGUGUCUUUUGGAGCUUUAAAUGUUAAUUAAUAUUAUUUUAAUUAAAUAAUUAUUUUUUUAAAAGAAAAAUUAAUAGUAAUUAAAGUAUAUUUUUUUUCUUUAACAAAAAGUAAUAAAAUAUAAAUUGAAGAGAGAAUAUCAUUUCUUAUUUGAAGAAUUUUAAUUGGAGUGUCUUUUGGAGCUUUAAAUGUUAAUGUAACUCUUCAAAUAAGUAAUAAAAUCUUAUUUGAAGAGUCCUAGAGCAUCACCAAAAAAACUCUUCAAAUAAGAUUUUAUUACUUAUUUGAAAAGUCACAUCAAUAUUUAGAACUUCAAAAGACACUUCAAUUAAGAUUCUUCAAAUAAAAAUUAAUUCUCUCUCUUCAAAUUUGAAGAGUUAAUUUCUCACUCUUCAAUUUAUAUUCGUUUUACUUUUCAUUGAAGAAAAAGAGAGAAAUGCUUUAAUUACUAUUGACUUUUCCUUUAAAAAACUAAUUAUAUGAUUAAAACAAUAUUAAUUUAUUUCUAUUUGAAGAGUCUUUUGGAGAAUAUCAUAUUUUUUCACCAUUCUAUUUGCCACAUAGGUAAGUAAAUAUGUAUUUAAAAAAUAAAAUUUAUAUAGGCUUUUGGAGAUGCUCUAAGGUUCUCGUUUUCUUUAAUUGCCACGAUUACCACUCUGCAGUGGAUCCCUUUUUUUUGUGCAUUGAAAAGAAAGCUAACGCGCAUAUUAAAAAAUAAAAAUGAGACCAAAUACGCGUAGAUCAACUGAUUUAAUUCGAGACUUAUAAAUAUAAUUGUGUUAAAUAUUUAUUAGAAGAGUUUUACCGUCUUAAUAAUUUUAUUCAGUUUAAAUUUAGACCAAUUUGAAUCUGGAUCAGUCGGGAUCCGAUGUGAUCUUCGGAUACUAAAUUAUUUAAUAUAUUUCGCUCAAAUUUUGAUCAGUCGAAACCCAAUGUAAUAUUCAGAUAUCAGAAUAUACAAAAAAAAGGGUAUUUUUUUGGGAAGUGCUUACCGAUGAUGUAAUUUUAGAAACCAUUCAAGUGGAAAAAGUUAUGAAACAUAAGUCGAAUCUUUAACAACGCGCAUUAACAUAUUCCGUAUCGCAAAAUGAGAGUAAUUAUUUUCGAAUAGGAAUUUGGACAUUUUCGUUUUAUAAUUUAAAGAAGAAUGAAAUAUUUUAUUCAAAAAUAUUGGUGAGAGUGAAGCGAUACGAUGUUUGUAAGAAUAAUUCUUCAAAAUUGACGACGGGCCAAUUUUAGUUAUUUGAUUCUUUAAAGCGUUAGAAAGUGGUAGAUUUGAGUGUUGUUUGGAUUUGAAUUCGUUUUACGACGAGAUCGAUCGGUGGGUACCGCAUUUGACCCGCACCAGCCGGUAGUGUUUUCCAUUUCCAUCAUCUCGGGGUCAAAUAGAUUCGGCCGUAAUUUCUUAGCGCAACUUGAGUGCUUGCAUUCGUAAAAUAAAGUACUAAACUUGAGCAUCGCUACACAUGCUGUAUGUAGUUGGGUUAUGUACUACAUAAUUUACAUACAGCACAUGAAUUAUGUACUACAUAAUUUGUAGUACAUAAUUCAUCAUUUAUUAAUAGGCUGUGUAAGAUUUUUAAAUUAAUGAUUAAAAAGAAAUAUAGUUAUAACCUAUGAUACGUAUAUCAUUUGUGCAUCUCCAUUAUGUACAUAUAAUAGUAUUGAUUUCUAUAACCAAAUAAUAAUUUCUUAACAAGUGAGAUUAUUUUAUCAAUCUUCUAUCAUUUUUUUUCCAAUUAAUACAAUAACAAAGUUUCUACAAAGAUCCAAAACUUGAAUUGAUAAAUAGCCAAAGCUUAUCUUACAAACAAUGUAACAAACAUCCAAUAGAUAUAGAUCAUUGAUUUUGAUAUUUCUUAAAUCUAAUGAAUGAAAACAAUUUUAACAGGAAAUGAGGUGUGGGUGUAAUAGUAAUUUAUAAAAAAAAUCAUUUUUAAUCACAUAUUUACUUAUUUUUUUCAAAUAAGUCCUCAUUAAUUUUUUAUAACUAAAUAAGUUUGUAGUUCAUCUCUUCUACAUCUAUUUAAAAACUUUAUAAAACUUUUGCUGGAUUUUUAUAAAAAUUUAAAUGAUUAUUAUAUUCAUAAAGAUUUACAACUUUUGAAUAAAUUUUAGCACCUUCAUUUAUAAUUUCUUGUUUCUUUUAAGACAUAGACUAAAUUUUUCUUGUAACACACACACACACACACACACACACACAUUCAAUCUACUUUCCCAUCCUAAUACAUACCAUCAAUGUUGUUACAUAGAUUUUGUAAUCUAAAUUUAUUAUUCUAAAUUAUGAGAGAUAUUACAUAUGAUAAAUAUCUCAUGAAUCUAACGAACUAUUAAAAACAUGGAACAAUGAAUAAAUUAUCAAAACCUCUAAUAAUUUCAUAAAACAUAGAAACCAAUAAGUUACCGCCUUCUAGUUAUAGGCAAAGAGGAUUUUUCUAUGAAAGAUUUCAACCCUUUGAUCUAAUCAAUGAUUCAGAAAUGUGGAGAAAUAAUAAAUUAAAUUGAAUGUCACAAUAUUUAUUAAAUAAAUUAAGAAACACAAAUGUAUCUAUAAAUGAUAUAGAAGGUGUAAAUAAAAUAUUAUAAAUUAAUAAUUUCAAUGAAGAAAAUAAAAAAUAAAUUAAAAAGUUAAGAGAUUAACUGAGUAAAGAAUUUAAUAAAGUUAAACAAUUAAUAAAAGACUUCAAUAUUGAAAAUUAUGAUAUAUUAAAGUAAGAGAUCAUUAAUGUAAUUAAUAAAAAACUUAAUAGAUAUAAGAUUAAACAAGUUAGAGAUUAAAUUAAAUAAAAUAGAAAAAAUUAUUGAGCAACUUAGUACUAAAUUUACUAUAAAUAUAAAUAGAAAAUUUUAAAAAAAUUAAACUUCUAACAAUACUAUUGCCUGGCUGUAACUUGGGCUUUAAAGUAAAACUUAAAACCUUAUUGAUGUUUU